UAUCCAGGGACAGCGCCAUUAUAAACAAUAUAUUCUACUUAUUGAUGGUAACAAUACUAUAUCUACUAAAGUAACACUGCUGUUUAUCAGGAAAAGACAAACUUUACUUUUUCAAAGCAACGUCUGGGGCAAGGAAGUAAAACUAGAAAAGCUUCGACCCUGGGAACUAGCUGCCAAUGAAGCAUCAAAGAUGACGAGAAAAUCUACUGAGAUGACGCAAACAAGCCAAAAGCUGGAUUGAUAGUGGUAAAACCUCCGUCCACUGCAAGAUUGUGCCCGCUCACAUACUUGGACUCGUCAGAACCCAGAUACAGUGCAGCUUCGGCCACAUCUUCUUUCUGAAGAAAAACCCCUUUCAGGUUAGAAUAAACACGAGGGCGUUCAUCUCCAUCCAGCUUGAAGAAAUUCAUAGCCGACCGUGUUGCAAUGAAGUAGGAAGAUAAGCAGUUCACUCGAAUCCCAAACCUCCCGAGCUCUGCUGCCACGUUCUUGGUGAGUCCUAAAAUGGCAUGCUUUGAACUUGUGUAUGCAUGAGAAGCAACCCCACCGACACUAGAUGAAACGCUACCCAGUGAAAUUAUGCUGCCUUUUCUUGCAGGAAUCAUUACUCGAGCCGCAUGCUUAGUUCCCAAGAAAACGCCUGUCAAGUUAACGCUAAUGACACGCUCAAAAUCAGCCACAUUAUUCUCUAUGAUGCUUGGUUUGGCGUCGUCAAUGACGGCAGCAUUGUUUACCAUUAUAUCAAGCUUUCCAUGUAAGGAAAUUGCGGUGUUAACUGCAAUUUCGACAUCAGAUUCUUUGACUAUGUCGCAAAGCACGAAGGAUGCAAGUGCAAGACCAAUAUCUUUGCAUACGGAUUGGCCUAAUUCAUCUUGAAUGUCAGCAAUGAUAACUUUAGCUCCGUGCUCGCAAAAGAGUCUUGCAAUGCACUCACCAAUGCCGCUAGCACCUCCUGUGAUCAAUGCCACCUUGCCUUCUAGCCUAAGAACAAUUCUCAAUAAAAAUAAAAAACCAUGUAAUUAUCAAUAAAACUAGCAUUAUUAAUUAAAAUUUUUAAAAAACUAACAUUAUUAAUACAAAUAAGUUACAAUUUUAUGUGUUAAGGAAAUACUUAAAUAUUGAAUUAAUAGUUAAAACUUGUAAGUUCGACUCAAAAACAUUGGAUUGAGAGUGAGAUGUUCUAUGUGUGGUGUUGAAUCUGACUACUGCAUGACCUCCCAGGCUUUCCUAUGGAUUUAUUUUAUUUCUCACUUGAAAAGCUGUGCAUGAUUUGGUGUCAAGCAUGCUAUGCUUCUGGUGACUCUUCGGUUGUUUCUGUGUCGCAUGUUUGUUCUGUUCCUGUGACUCGCGGGUUGAUGCUGUGUUGCAUACUUGUGGUGGUGACGUUGCCUUAUACUUCCUGAUGAUAUUGUGCUAUUCUGUGUAAAUAUUUUCCGGUGUAAGACUCUGUUUUCCAUUAGGCGCAUUUGUACGGACAGAACCUCGUUGGGUUACUGUCUGUUUGGUCUCUUAGGCCACACCCUUGGCUUUUGCCAAAGUAUCGUAUCAAUUUUGUGAUAAUAAAAUAUCAGAUUUGAUUAAAAAAUAAUAUAAAAUAUAUUUUAGCCUUGGAAAGAAAAAUAAGGGUUCAGAUCCUAUAUAUUAUUUUUUGUUAUUAAUGUUUAAUAUAUUCUUUAUUGAUGACAUUCGUGUUGUUGAUAAAUAAAUAGAAAUUUAUGAACUAUUUGAACAAGUUAAUGAUUAUUAUAAGUUUACUGAAUAAUAUUAUUAAUAAAAAAAAUAGAUAAAGCGAAUAUGAUGGUUGAUACAAUAACAAAGAUGCCUCCUUUUAACUAAAACUCAAUAUAGAUAUGUAAAAAAUAACAAUAAAUAUGGGAACACACAUUGAUUGAUCAGUAAUAUACAUGAGCUAAUGAAAUAUAUAUACCUUCUUGCAGCAGGUGGAAGUAGGGAAGCACAUGCCAUUUUGAUCUUCUGGCUGGAGAUUUGUUAAUCUCCUUAGAUUUCUAGGCAAAUUAUAUUGUAUGUCCUCCAUCUCCAGAGAGAAGCCCAACAUCCUUUUAUAUAGAGAUAGUUAACCGUGUAACAGAUACAAAGUUGAUGGAAUGCAUCCAACAUAGAGUUUUUUAAUUAAUUACCAACGCUUAUCCUAAAUCAAAAUUUUAUAUUAAUUACUUGCAGCAUUGACUUUAAAUUAAAAAAAAAAAUCCUACGUCCAGCAUUUUCAAAAUUGGUGGGCAACUUAAUUAGCGGUGUGUAAAUAUUUACUUUUUGUGACUUGUGCUAAUGUGAAAAGUGAAAUGAUUUGUGGACCUAUGCAUGCAUACGAACCUGCAUAGCAUCAGCUAAAGGUGCAGAGAGGUUGUUGGACAAUUAGGGCAACAAAUCUAAUCAAGGGAGCCCAGUCAUUUGUAAUGUGAUUCAAGCUAAUUUUGUCAUUAUCUUUUAUCAAUAUAUGUGGCAUGUGAUAAGAGUAGUAGACAAAAUGAAGAAAAUUUUUAAAGAUAUAGCUUGUAAUUGAUUUUUCGUGUAGGAAAUCUUUAUUUUGAUGUGAUAAGAGUCGUAGACAAAACGAAAAAAUUUUUCAAAGAUAUAGCUUGCGUUUGAUUUUUCGUAUAGAGAAAUUUUAUUUUGAUAUCAUAAGAGUCGUAGACAAAAUGAAGAAAAUUUUCAAAGAUAUACUUGCAUUUGAUUUUUCGUAUAAGGAAUCUUUAUUUUGAUGUGAUAAGAGUCGUAGACAAAAUGAAAUUUUUUUUUAAAAAAUAUAGCGAGAUAUGAUAUAUGAAAGAUAAUAUGAUUUUAUGAUUGUGUUUAACACGUAAAUAACCAAAAGAAAAAUAAAAUAAUUUAAGAGAAUGAAAUAAAUAAUUAAGUUUUACUAUAAACAAGCUUUAAUUAUUAAGAAAAGACAUUUACCUAAUUAAUUAUUAAGUCAUGUUAUAAACAGGAAUGAUGUGUGGAACUAUAUAUGCAUACGAACCUGCAUAGCAUCAGCUAAAGGUGCAGACAGGCUGUUUGACAAUUAGGGCAACAAAUGAAGAAAAUUUUUAAAGAUAUAGCUUUAUAUGUGAUUUUUAUAUAGAGAAUUUUUAUUUUGAUGUGAUAAGAGUGAUUAGAUAAAAUGAAGAAAAUUUUUAAAGACAUAGUGAAAUAUGUUAUUUGAAAGAUAAUAUAGUUUUAUGAUUAUGUUUAACACGUUGACAAAAGAAAAGGAAUGAUAUAAUUAAAGAGGACGAAAUAAACAAUUAAAUUUUACUAUAAACAAGCUUUAAUUAUUAAAAAAAGACAUUUACCUAAUUAAUUAUUAAGUCAUGUUUUUUUCUUUUUGAAAAUUUUCAACUGAAACUAAUAGUUUUUAUAAAUUGCACCAUUCAAAUUCACACUGCAAAAGAACAAAUUUACUGAACUGGAAAAACAAAAAUGGAAAAAUUUCCUUCACAUUUAUCUGAUCUGGACCAUGCCAACGGUGACCAGCUUUUGAAUCUUGUUCAUCACCAUAGGAUUCUUCACGUGCUCCUGUGCCGCAUGUGAGUUUCUUUCUCAUCAUUGUACAUGGCAUCUAAUCAUUUGUACCAACAUUGAUGGUAUUAUGAUAAAAAUAAGAGUAAAAUCUUAAAUUUUAAUCAAAAUUUUACGUAAAUUCAUUAUUUUUUAAAAUAAAUUAUAAAAUUUAAAAAUACAAAUCACAUUAACAAAAAAUAUAAAAAAUUAAAAUUUUUUUUCUUUCAAACAAUGUGGUUGGCUGGUGGUUUUCCUAUUCUUCAGUUUACCACCCCACAGCAAAUGCUCUCUUCCCUUGACCUAAGAGAAAUUUAUUUUUUGUAAAAAAAAUUUAAAAAUUUAAUUUACAUAAUAUUAAUUUUUUAAAUUAAUAAAGAGUAAAAUUAUUUUUUUAAUAUUACUAUUUCAUCAAAUUGACAAAACACUAAUGUUUAACUAACAGUUAGACUUAUGUGUCUAGCAGAAAAUUUUUUUGAAACGGAUAAUUUAUUUUAAAAAUUAAUAAAUUCAUGUAAAAUUAUGAUAAUAAUUUAAAAAAAUUUAAAUAUUUAAUUUAAUUUUUUAAAAACAAACAAAUAAAAUGUAAAUGGUGAAGUGAUUGCUUUGAUUUUAAGAUUCGUUUCUCAUCCAUGUACAUCGCAUUCAAUCAUUCACACCAGCGUUAAUUCUCUCUGUUUAUUCUUUUACCUCUCUUUUCUCUUUUGUCUUGCCUGAUAAUUCUUCUCAACCCACAUCCGCCACGAUUUUUUGUUAGAUGUUUCUUUAGGCUCGUGUGGUAUGUAGAGCAGAUUGUGGCUUUGUACAGAUGCCUCUCCUUUUGGAUUUUUUGUUUACCUCACCUGUAGCUGGUCUCGGUGUAGGUUCAGUGGAGAUUUGUGGUAAUUUUUGUUAAGCACUUCUCCCUUUACUCUUUAUGAUAUAUAUAUAUAAUAUAUAUAUGACUUUUCAAAAAAAAAACAAAUAAAACAAAUGUGGAUACUGUUUGGUUAAAAAAGAAACAAAAAAAUAAAAUGUGUAUGCUGAGUUUUCUCUUUCUUAUCCGAAAUGGGUUAAUUUAGUUUAGUUUUUUUCCUUCUAUCUUUUAAAAUCUUAUAAUUACGUGGGUUGGGUUGGUUGGAGGGAUCUUGUAACGACCCAAGUCCAACUACUGGUUUAGUAAUUUUUUAAACUUAAACCACGUGGUCUUCAAAAAUUUCAAGUUGCUAGUAGUCGUUGACUUGGAUUGUUAUAUAAGUCUUAACAAUUAUAUUCACAUCAGAUGUGGGAUGUUGGGCAUCACAAUCCCAGCCACACAUCACAUUCACAGAACCAAGAAGUUUAUAUCGGACUGGCGUAGGCUCUGAUACCAUUUGUAACAACCCAAGUCCAACCACUGGUCCAGCAACUUUUUGGGCCUAAACCACGUGACCUUCAAAAGUUUAAGCUCAAGUUGAUAGUAGUGGUGGGCUUGGAUUGUUAUAUAAGUAUUAACAAUCAUAUUCACAUCAGAUGUAGGAUGUUGGGUAUUACAAUCNAAGAAACAAAGAAAUAAAAUGUGUGUGCUGGAGUUUUCUCCUUCUUAUUCUUAAUGGGUUAAUUUGGUUUAGUUUUUUUUAUUCUAUCUUUUAAAAUUUUAUAUUACGUGGGUUGGUCGGAGGGAUCUAUUAAGAUAAUUAGACAAACUAUUUAGUUAGAGUUUUUUUAUAUAUAAUAUUUAAAAAAACUAUAAACUAUUCAAAAAAAUUUAAAUAAGUAUUUAUAUUUUUAUUACAUUUUAAUGAAAUAUUAUUUUUUAUUUUUGAGUCAAAUAAAUUUUAUAAUUUUAUUUUGAAUCAAAUAAAAUCUUUGUAUUUUUUUUUGAAUUAAACAAGCUCUUAAGACUAAUUAUUGAUUUAGCGAAAAUAUCAUUUAUCAUUUUAUAUCGCGUGGUGCUUAAGUAAUAGACUAAUGUAUCAUAAUUGAUGAUUAUAUAACAUGUCAAUAUAUCAUAAUUGAUUAUAAAGUAAUAUAUUAAUUUACUAUGAUAAUAUAAUCGUAUGACAUAUUAUUGAAAGUUAUUUUUGAAAUAAGUUUAUGAGGUUGGUUAUUUUUUAUAAUUUUUUCACAAAUAAUUGUUUCAAAUAAUAUUAGUAAUGCAUUCAAAUAUUUGAUUCAAUAAAUAAUGUGUGUGUAUAUACAUAUAUUAAAAAAAUUAUAUUCAAAUUCCAUUUCCAAAAAAAAAAUUAAUAUCCUUUUUAAUAUUUUCCUUUAAUUGGACUUGACAACGAAGAGACAAAGGAAGCCAUAGACUUGGUACUUCAAAAUUCACGACAACAAAGUAGGCAACAACAAAAUCGUGACUAGCACAUCCCACUUGCAGAGAUGACGUGGCAAAUUAAAAUAUUAUAACCAAAUUAAUCAACGAUUAAUAUUUUGGGCUUGGGAAUCUAUUCUCAAGCUUUGAGUACUCUAUAUAUAUGGAAUACCUGCUUGAUCUGUUGUCUACCCUUUCUAAGUUGGAAAUUAGAACACAAAAAAUCAUCAUGGCCCUCGCUUUCACCUUGGAAAGAGAGCACAAUCAGGUUACAAUAUGCUUGUUCUUUUUCCUUUCUCACAUUUUCUUUCUAUUUAUCUAUGAUUUUUAAUUAGCCUUUUAACAUCAUUUCUUUUCGGUGGUGCCAUAAACCCUUUUAAAAAUGGGCAAUAAACUAAUAACUGACGAGCUAAGUUUGUAUCCUUAACAUUAAAUAUCCUCCAAUAUGUUUUAUUUCUUAUGAUUCUUCUAAAUUAAAUGGUUAAUAAAUUAAGUAAACUCAAACAUUUAGUUUAUUAAUUAGUACAUGAUUUCUCUGUCUAAAGAGUUGAGAGUUUGAAUCCCCCUUCUCCAUGUAUAUAUUUUCAAACUGGUUUAACGACUUCAAAAUUCAACAAAUUUCAGUAUUGCUAUCUGCAGGUACUAUUCGAGGGAGAUUCAUCAGCCAAGAAAGUGAUUUUGAACAGACCAAAGAAGCUAAAUGUUCUCAGUUAUGAAAUGGUAAGUUCGACUUAAUUACUUAUUAUAUAUAAUAUCCACUAAAUUUUUAUACUAUUCAUUUGAUAAAAAUAUCAAAAUGUUAAAAAAUCUAAAUCAGCAUUAAACUUUUUGUUCUUUUUUACAUGCAAUUUCAAAGUAAAAUGAAACUUAUAUAUGCUUGGCAUUAUUGUUGAACUCUAAUUUGCAGAUCUGUCAAAUGCUAACCAACUUCCAAGCAUAUGAGCAAGAUUCUACAACAAAUUUCGUGAUUUUGAAGGUAGUUAAUCGUCAGAAUCCAAAAACAUAUGAAAAAUGAUCUUUUAAUUUGUUUUAGACUAGUCAAUGGGUUGCUUCACUUUCCAGGAAUCCAAGCCAUUCUUUCUUUUAUAUGGAUAGAUUAAUAUUUUUCUCUCUUAACCAAAUAUAAAUGGUACUAAGAUCAGUAGACUGUACAAUCUUUAUUAUCUCAGAAGUUUGAGAUAAACAGGCAUGAAAAUAAAGCAAGACACAUCUUUAUAAAUUUACAAUCAACUUUAGCAAGAGAUAGUUUUUACUUUCCCUUACCACCAAGUAUAAAACUUUUCGAAUCUAUCAAUGUCAAACUUUGUUAAGAAAUCUGCAAAAUAAUUUGUUUCUUUGAGAGUAUGUAAAAAACAACCUUCCUUAGGAUCUUCUUUAACCUAUCUGUUUCACUAAAAAUUCUUCAUUUCUGUCAAGGUCUUAAGUUCAAAUUGCACACCUAGGAUGUAGCUACCAUAAAAUUCAAACUCUACCAUAAGAGAUUUCUUAUCCAAACCAAAAGAAAAAUAUGAAAAGCAGUUUGAUUGCCACCAAUUCAACAUAAUUCUAUUCUUGCUCUCUUAAUGAGCCAAAAAAGAUAUUAUUGAACCAAAAGAAUCUCUCAAAACCUCUCCACCACCCACAUCCGCAUCAAAUUGGAGCUCUUUAGGAGGAAUCCAAGAAAUACCUCUUUGAGAUUCAACAUUUUUACAAAUAGUAAAAAAAGUCCAUAGAUUUGACCACCCCCAAACUCAUCAAUAGCUCUAUUUCUUUCUAUAGUUUUGAUUCAAAACAUAAAUCUAAUUUUAUCAAGAAAACUAUAUCUUAUCUAUCCAACCAUUUCCUAUUAAACACUAGGUCAUUUCUUGCUAUUCAUAAAAAUCAUAAAGUAGCUCCACACAUGUUAAAUCAUUUCUUUUUCAAAAUAUUACCGAUCAUUAUAUCUUCACAUAAUUGGAGAAAAAUUUUCAAUAAACUUUACGAUUAUUCAAUGUAAUCCCCGUCACUUUAAAUCAGAACCACAUAUAAUUCACAAAUAAUAGUAAGAAAUUAGAAAAUGGCAACUAUCAUCAUCGUGACCACAGUACAUGCAUCAACAAUUAAUAUUUUCAAAUUGAAAAACUUUGACCAUCAAAAAGCUUUUAAUAGGAAUGCAAUUAAAAAUAGGAAAGUUUGUACUUUUUGGGUAUAAUAUAUUUUCAAAUUGAGGAAAAUCAAGGCCUUCUAAAUCUAAAGCACGGGUUGUGUUCCCAGGACAGCUGUGGCUUUCUUCACUGAAAAAGGAACCUUUGUUAUCCAAAACUCUCAAACUAGUUUAUCGCUCUUCCUCGCUAUCCAAAUGGAUUUGGUCGAGCAUCCGCAGCAAAUCCUCCAAAGAGUCUAUUUCUCGCUCAAAUAGCCUUCUUUUAAAGAUCAAGUUCCAUUAAUGAACAGCAUUGCUCGUUGCUUUGGCCAAUCUCCUACUCCAUGGUUAAAAGGAAAAACCUUCUAUCAAAGGAAAAUCCAACACCCACUUGUCCAACCAAAAACCACACCAUGAUACCAUUACCUACUACCCAUAUCAACACUCAUUCCUACCAGCCAACUUAUCAACACCAUCAAUACUUGGUAAACUUACAAUGUUUCUCUAAAUAUUCGACAUUCUUUCCUUAUGAUUGAUUAAUAACGAUCAUUGUAAACAACUUUCACCAUAUUUUUCACUGAGAAAUUUUCUCUAUGAAGCCUUUUGGUCCACUUUAUACCACUACCACUUCAUUAAUAAAGUAAUAUUCUACACAUCAUAGUCCAUUUCACCUACGCUAAUUAAUUUCCUUUCAUUCUUAUAUUAAUAAAGCCAUAUUAAUAUUCAUGGAUACAUUAAUAUUAUUACUACUGACCAAAAGUUGUUCUUGCAGAGCAAUGGAAGAGCAUUUUGCGCCGGAGGCGAUGUUGUGGCCGUACUUGGUGCUCUGAUAAUAGGUUAGUUUGUUCCUUAUUCGUAAUUUUUUUCUACUUUUGGUGCACUUUAAUCAUUUUCUAUGUUAAUAUAUUGAGCUAGUGGCUGCUUUGGCCUUUGGCUAAUAAAACAACAUAUUGUUUAUUAAACAGAAUUAAAUCUAUAAUUAUAGAUUUUUACUUCCUUAUUUUUAUUCUCUUUUUAACUUAUUUAUAAUAAAUAUAUUCAUAUUAUCACUUAUGUCUUGUUCAUACAUAAUUUAAGAUCCUAGAUGAUCAAUGAAUGAUCAGGUCAUUGGAGUUUCGGAGCAAAUUUUUACCGAAAGCAAUAUGCUUUAGAUUACUUACUCGCAACAUAUGAGAAGCCCUUGGUAAGUUGGAUUUAGGACUACUCUUUUAAUUAUUACAUAAUCCCUCUAACUCUUCUAAUUAAUUCUUUUAAUUCGGAUUACUGAAGAUUUCCCUUAUCAACGGUGUUGUUAUGGGAGGUGGUGCUGGCUUAUCUAUGCAUGCAAAGUUUAGAAUUGUUACGGAGAAUGCUGUAAGUUUUCUUCUUUUUGUUUUAUAUGUAUGUAUAUUGAACUAGUUUGAGAAAGAAAUAAAUUAACAUUAAUUUAUGUAAAUCCCAACUUUGAACAGGUGUUUGCCAUGCCGGAAGCGUCAAUAGGCCUUUUCCCCGAUGUUGGAGCGUCCUAUUUUCUUUCUAGACUUCCAGGCUAUUUCGGUAAUAGAUUCUUUCCCGACCCGAACACAUAACUGAAUAAAGCUCUAAGAAUGUAACAAAUUAAUUUGGAAAACUCUUCAGAUGGGCAUGAACCUAAUACAGGAGAAAUAUUAAAAUUUUUGUUCAAUUGAUGUCAAAUAUUGAAGGAGAAUAUUUGGGACUAACUGGAGCAAGGUUGGAUGGAAUGGAAAUGCUUGCAUGUGGACUUGCAACUCAUUUCGUUUUGUCCAAGGUAAAUUUUAUUGAACGGAUUUACAUUUUCUUUUCGCAAUGGUAUGCAUAAAAUUUUCAUAAAUAAAAAACAUGAUAUGUUUUACAUGUGUUAGGACCUAGUUUUGCUCGAAAAUGAGCUUGAUAAAGUGGGAACGUCAGACACAACAGAGAUUGCCAGACAAAUUGAGAGAUUCUCAUGUGCAGCACCUAUUAAACGAGAGAGUGCUUAUGCAAGGUUAUAUGAUAAUUGUUGAUAAUUCCUUCUUCUGUCGUAACCCUUCUAUAUUUGAUUCUUAUCCUACCUUUGAGUUGCGUUAAUAAAUCAGAUUGGACACUAUAAACAAAUGUUUCUCGAAGAAUACGGUUGAAGACAUAUUAUUAGCGCUUGUAAGUGUAUCUUAACACCUUAUUUUUACAAAUAUAUAUAUAUAUAUUAAACAAUUAUAUUACAAAAAUAAAAUAAUUUUUGUAUGCAGGAGAAGGAAAUGAAAUAUAAAGCAGAAAAGUGGAUAAUCAAGGCAAUAAAGUCUAUGGAAGCUGCUAGUCCCACUAGCCUUAAAAUCUUUUUGAGAUCAGUAUGUUAUUGUUCAUAUUCUAAAUAGUGAAAAAUCACUUAAUUUGCUGUUAUUGUUCAUAUUUUAUUCAAAUAGUAAUAAUAAAGAGGUUUGAAAUUGAUAAUAUAUUUUUUUUAAAUCUUUGAUCAGAUCAGGAAAGGGCGAGAACAAACACUUGAACAAUGUCUUAGUUUUGAGUAUAUAGUCGUAUGUAACAUUCUACGAGGAUCUAUUAGCAAAGAUUUUUGGGAGGUAAGGACGAAGGAUUGAUGAUGCCUUGGUUAAUUUCAAGAUUAAAUUUAUUACUAAAUUGAUGAUGCUUGCAGGGUGGAAGAGCGAAGCUAAUUGAAAAAGACAAUAAACCCAAGGUACUCUUGCCAUUAUGUGAAGAUCUAUUUGCAAUGAUUUUUUAACACUUAAUUGAAUACAAUUGCAACUAUACAUUCAAUUCAUUUCUGAAAUCCUACUUUCGUUGGAACAUAUAAAAUAUUCCAAGACAAGACAAUAGAGGGAAAACGGGUAUCAGUACAUGGAACUUUAGAUGUUAAUAACAGAGUUGUGCAAGCCCUCUCUUUCUUGAAGAAAUGUCUGAAAUAAAGUAUACUUGACACAAACCAAAGAAUGAUUUCCUGCUGCUUUUCUGAUACUAGGUGUUUCAGUUUCAAGUAAUAAACAAUCAACAUAUAUUCUAAGAUUUUUUUUUGUUUUUGAAAUAAAAAAUCAUGAUUGUCAAAGUUUCACCUCAAGCAUCUUCCUACAGAAUAGCAAAUUGAUUAGUACAAAUUUGUUAGAUUUUUCUGAAGCAAAGUUUGCAAGAUAUUACAGGACAAACAGUGUCGUAUUUCAUAAGUAAGACUUAAUGGGUUGGGUUAGAUUCUAAGCACAAUGAUGUUCAUCACCUUUCAGUAAUAAAAUGCUGCUAUUCAAAAAAGAAAAAGAUUCUAAGCACAAUGCUUACUCCAUUCAUUUGAUUUUUGUUUCUUUUUGAAUAUAUAUGACAGUGGGCGCCUUCAAAUUUGCAGUCAGUUAGCGAAGAAACAGUAAAUCGCUAUUUUACUGAGGUUGAUGAUCCUCACUGGGAAAUUCUACGUCUUCCUGAUCGACCCAACUUGGUUGAUGCUCUGAAAUCCAAGAUGUGAGCAAUUUGGCUGACAGACCACAAACAAAGAUUUGGAGUAUUGCAACAUCUUUUAGUUUAAUUCCACAACUUUGUACCUGUACAAGUAGAUUUUAGUAGGAAACAUCUGCAACAUAUGUAGUGCCUCGUAUGGAAGACCAAAGUGAACAAGCAAGGAAUAAAAGUCAGCUCCAGCCUUUGCCCAGCAGGUACUGGGUAGUGAGCUCCUUUUGACUGUGUACUCGUAGGUUGCUCCUGUCUGAUCUUGCCAUGUCAAGAAAAGGGACCCCACCCUUGUGGAAACCUUCCAAACCUUUCUAUUUUUAAAAUAAAUUUUAUGGUGAAACUGUGCUAGAACAGAGAAUCUGUUCUUAAUUCUAAGCCAUUUGUUUGCUUCAGAAUCUGAAGUUGAUCUGGUAAGGUAAGUCUUCUCUCUUUUGGUCAUCCAUUUCCUUUUUGCGAUCGAAUAUGAAUUGAUCGUUAUGCCCACCAUACAAGUUUAUUCCUUUGUUAUCAUUUCCAUUUUCCGUGUAAUAUAUUGCUUUUUGCAUUUCUUUAUAAUUCCUCUGUUAGAUUUCUCAUAAAAGACCAGAAAAGUAAAGCGAAGCUAUAAUCUGGAAUUCUGGAUAUCAUUUUCUUGUUCCAGUUUUCUCAAUCUCGACGUAUAUUUUGUUGUCCUUUAGUAUCUGAUAUAUAGAAAGAAAACAAGGAUUAUUUUCGUGCUGAAAUCUUGAUUCGACCUUUUUUCGUCACCUGGAUGGAACCUCACGAAGCAUGAUUCUUUAGAAAGCUUAUAUUAAUGCUAAAAUAUUCUGAACAGAAUGUAUGCCUUUUUGAUGGCAGGAGAAAAUGUCCUUUCUUCUUGAAUUCUUGAAAUGCGCUCUGUGUUGUGAAGACGAGCACGUUGAUGGUAGUUGUGAGGAUGAGUGCAGUGAUGUUAGUGACAAUGAAACCUCCUUCAGCAAUAUUUAUAGUACAACUAGGAUUUAUAACACAUUUUCUAGCUGGCUCUCCACUCCUAGUUCUUCCAUAGACGAAUCAUCUUCAGUAACCAGAACUCGCAAUUACCCACAGCAUUACUUAAAUUCAUCUCUCAGUUCAUCGCUCUUGAACCCAACCAGAAAAGAGUCAACAUGGCAGUCCAGGCCAAGUGAUGUACCUGUUGAAUACAGGGUAGUUCUAGGUUCAGAGACAAAUAAUCCUAGUUCAAUUGGAUCAUUGUAUCUGAAGUCUGUGGACAGAAUUUAUCAAGUGCCUCAGAAUCCUAGGAGUUCUGGUACAUACAACAUUCAUUCAUCUCCAACUCCCACGAAACCACCUCAGUCUUCAACUAAGCUGAUUCUCGCUCCUUGUAGUCCAUCGCCAUCAUCCCUUAAACCCCCAACAUCUUCUCCUAAACCCCCCGCAUCUUCAAAACCAUCUCCAUCAUCUCCAACGCCUUCUAAACCGUCUAUGUGGUCUCCCAAACCCUCUUCAUAACAUCUUCUAAACCAAGUUCAUCCUCCUCCACGCCAUCUUCAUCUUCUUCUAACCCCCUUCCGUCCCUUAAGCCAACUGUAUCCCCUGUACCUUCUUAUUUUAUCGACCAGCAAGGGAAAGGAAAGUAUACUUGGGCUGAUCCAAAGGAUACAUUACCUAUUUACAAGAUUCCCAAGGACAUUGAGGACUUAAUCAAGAGAGAUAUUCUGCCUGAAGUUCUGGUGAAAGCCUUGUCUCCUUCAACUUACCAGGAUUAUUUUGCAGCUCUUCUCUAUGCCGAGGACUACUACAUUGAGGUAAAGAAAACAAUUGCCUUUCAUGAAAAGUUCAAUAAUCCAAUUCUAUCUAACUUUUCUAUUUGUCUCUUUCUUUUAACCUAAGAGACUUCAUCAAAAUUUGUUUUGUGUAAUUUAUGUCAUUGAUUUAUUCAUGUUGAAUGUUUUGGUGUGGGAUUUAGCUGGGCUGAAUGUACUUAUAAGACUAUUGUCCUUAAUUAAGCUAUGAUCUAUGAUAAACAAGUACUCAACAUAACAAGUAAUGAUUGAAAGCUUGCAAUGGGCUUCUUGUAGCUUGAGUUGUAACCAGUCUUUUGACUAAUUUAGAAUUGCCAGCCUUAAACUCCAAUCUUUUUGUAUCAGAGCAACUAGUGAGGACUGAAAAGUAGUAUUACCAUGGGACGCCAGAGUUGUGAAGUGUGAAAGAAAAAAAAAAAAUUACAAAGCAGUAAAACCAUCUCCACAUACUAUCCAAGUUGAAUGCAUUAGAGUUUAGUAUGAGGGCUCAUAGGCAUAUUGUUUGAUUGGGCUAAAUAUUCAGAAAAUUUCUUUUAGGUGCUCUACUUAAUGUAAAACAAUUCUUCCAAAAGGGUAAUGACCACGCAAAAAAAAAAAAAUUUAGAAAAAAGGAGAAUGGUUUUGGCAAUGACUGUCAUCUCUAAAACUAUAAUCCAAGCUAAGAUUGAGGAAUUUAGGAGAAAUUUUAAUAUUAAAGGAUAUUUAUUUAUUUCAAAAUGAUAAAAAAAUAAAUUUGAAAUAAACAUGUAAAAUAAGUUUAACAUAAAUAAAUAAAUGAGUAAAAAAAAUUCUCCGAUAAAGAAAUUUCAAGAAUGUUAUCAAGGAUAAUUUUCUUAAAAAUUUUUGGGUGAGAAAUUUUUCUUGAAUUCUACCAUAAGUAUGAGAGUAUUCAAGAGACAUUUCAAUAUCAAGAGAUUUUUAUUUAUUUGAAGAAACAUAUAAAUAUAAAUAUAAAUUAAAUAAAUAAGAUAAGUCAAGGACUGAAUAAAAAUUCUCUGAGUAUGAAAUUUCGAUAAGGUUAAAAGUAAUAACUUCGAGAAAAUUUCUAGGUGAGAAAUUCUUUUGAAUUCUACUAUAAGUAUUGGAGUAUUCAAAAGACAUUUCAAUAUCAAAGGAUUUUUCUUUGUUGUAAAAAUGAUAAAAUAAAAUAAUAAAAUAUAAAAUUAAUUAAAAAAAAUAAAACUAGAUAUAGAAUUUAAAAUUGAUUUAUUAAGGCUAAAAGGAUAACAUAUAAUUAAUUAGGUACCAUGUUAAGUGGACAUUGUGAAGGUACUAACACCUUCUUCACACGUAGCUAUACUUCCGAACCUAGCUUGUUUCAUAGACAAGAACCUAUCCUUUUAAAUGAACUUAAGUCAAGCUUGGGAUUUCAUUAAAAAGUAUAGAUUCAUCUAAGUAACCAAUCACACCUAAACAAAAAAAAAUUGGUGGUGACUCUUCUUUCAAGUCAAACGGUUGAGUUUAUAAACUUACACAUUAUGACAGCUUGGUGACUCCACUGGGGAAUUUGUGAGUUAAGCUUAUAAUUAAUUAUGUGAUAUCCUAAAGCCUUAACUAAUUCGAUAUUCUAUUUUAUUUUCCUUAGUUUUGAUUUUGGUCACUUUGUUUGUGCAUAUACUUGUUGUUUUGAGAUUUGUAUGUCCCUUUGCACACACUAAACUUUUUCAUGCAAGCAGGAGUCCUAUACCCAGGCUCUAUCCUAUUAAGAGGAAGUAGAGUACUACUCUCGUGAGGUGAUAACCUCUGUGUGGGAAUGCAAAACACUUCCACUCAAAUUGAAUCUUUUUCAUUGGUAGCUUGUAAUAAGUGAAGAUUUAGGCGCUUUACUAGUCUAAAGGGGAUGUCAGUAAGGAACAAUUUAAGAACCUUUAGCUUUGUGUGAAACCUUUCCCAACAUAUAGUAAGCUAUAAGAAGCCAAAUCUAAGUAGAGCCUUACCAACCCAUUGCAUAGAAGAGCAAACAAAGUUUGGUAUACAUGAUAAAUACCUUGAAAUGCAUUCAUUCACCAUUAUUCAUAAACAGAUGCAUAUUCAUUUUGUGUUUGUAAAUAGAUCAAUAAUUGUAAAAAAUGCAAUCAUCAUUUUAUGGCGUAAGCACAUUCUAAUCCAUGUUUAUGGCAAUAAGAAGGUUAAAGAACAGUUCAACCACUGAAAACCCCGAGGGAGCCUAUUCAUUAUUUGUAUCAAACCAAGUCUUAGAAUAAGAUCAUGGUGUCGUAAUGUGCGGGUCCGAGAACCCGACCAUUAGACGUGGGAUAAUUUAAGGAGUCGCCACCAAUCCUUUUUUACGUAGGUGUGAUUGGCCACUUAAUAAAUUUGUUCUAUUCAACGAAAUUCUAAAUUAAUUUUAGUUCGUCGAAAGAACGAUAACUGAUCUACAUAUUUUAUUUAAAGUUAGGUUCGAGAGUAUGGUUAUGCACAAGGAAGGAUUAGCACCCUAUGACGCCCGUUCCACGAACGGUACCAUUUAAUCAUAUAUUAUCCUAACCCAUUAAUUUUAUUUUUAUGUUUCUUUAAUUUUAUUUAUUUAAUUAAUCUUUUAUUCUAUUAACAAGUUAAAAUGUUUUAUUUGGUUUUACAGGUUUGACGUACACGUGAUGCAAUCAUGAAAUGCAUGACAAAAAAUCUGAGUAAUGCCAAACGAAACCUUUAUUGAGGAUAUUUUUCGAAUCUGCCCAUCACAUUGGUGUGAUUCAAAAAUAUUCCAUCACUUAGGGAAUUAUUAGAGAAACUCGCUUUUUCAAGUUUAAUGAGUAAAUCCCAUUAUCGAGGUAGUCAUUUGCAAGUAAAAAUGAUAUUUUUUGUGAAUGCAAACCUAUUACGAGCGGAAGCAUUUUUAUUAAAGAUAUUCUCCGAGCCCUCCCAUCAUUCUAGUGGGACUCAGAGGUAUUUUUCACUUAUGAAAUUUUUUGAAGAAACUCACCUUCGCAAGUUCUCUCGAAAAGUCCCAUCAUUAGGGUAGUUGGUUGCAAGCAAAAAUGAUAUUUUUUUGUGAAUGCAAACCUAUUAGAGCGGAAGCCUUUUUAUUAAAGAAAUUCUUCGAGCCUUUCUAUCGUACUGGUGGGACUUGGAGGUAUCUUUUCACCUAGAAAAUUUUUCAAAGAAACUCACCUUCGCAAGCUCUCUCGGACAGUCCCAUCAUCGGGGCUUAUACUCGUAUACAAAAUAUAUCUAUAUGCCAUGACAUUUAACAAUGUAACAAUGGUACGUGAUGCACUCAUAAUUUUAAUGUUUGUUCUUUAUUUUAUUAUUUCUCCGUGUGAGCAUAUAUACCAUGAAUAAAUAUUUUAUAUUUACUUAUUGUUCCAUUGUUUAUUUCGUUAUGUAUUUUGUUAUGUAAGUACUUAUUUAGUUUACUAUAUGAAUUUUCCAAAAUCAUGUUUUUUAGACCAAGUAUUAUUAUUAUUUUUUAUUUCAUAAUUAUUGUUUAUUUAUAUGUAUUUUAUCUAUUCUUUUUUGUAUUAUUAUUAUGAUUACCAAAUUUAUUGUUACCAUUAAUUCCUUAUUUCUUUUGUUUGUAUAUUUUGAUUAUUUGGUAAUUAAGUAAAUAUAGACUUUUUAUUUAUUUAAAAUUAAGAAUAUCGGAAUCCCGAAUUAAGACCCUUCUAUUGUACUGGUGGAGUCUUAAUCAAAAUCCCUAACCUAAAAAAAUUCACUCAAAAUUGUGACUUCUCGCGUUUCGAAUGAACAUCUCAUCAUCGACAACUCAUAUGGUUAGAUAUUCUCUCAAUUAGUAAUAUUAUGUAUAUUUUUAUAUUUAAUAAUUUCGUAUUGAAUCCCAUUCUUUUAUUUAGUUAUUUUUUAUAUGUACACCUAUAUAUAUUUAAAUAUUCCAUUUCUACUACCUACCUAACCUAUUUUCAUUCAUGAUUAAAUAUAUUUUAUUUUAUCUUAUGUUUUCUUUCAUUUGUAAAAGUAUAUUUCUUUAUAAUUAGGCAUUUUACCAUUUUUUCUAUUUAAAUCUCUCUUCACUAAACAUUUAUUUAUUAUUUAUUUUUUUAGUUUACGUUACUAAUCCUAUAACCGUGAAUAUACUUUUUAUGUAAACAUUUAUUUUCUACUUAUACAUAUAUGGAUAAAUUCUACUUAUCUAAUCCUAAUUUUCUUUAACUAAAAAACUCAUUUAUAUAAUUUUUUAUGACUAACCAUAUUACCUCUUUUAUUUUUAAAAAAUAUUAUUUAUAUAUUAUUAUUUGUAUGGUUUUCUGUUUAUUAUAAUUUCUUAAAUAUAUUUUCUCUUAUUUAUUAUUUUAUAAAUAUAUUUAUAACCUUGUAAAACUAUAUUAAAUACUAAUAAAAUUAAUAAUAACAAUAACAUGCAUGCCCAAAUAGCCAAAGAUCUAAAACUUACCCAAAAUUGUAAGCCCAAUGAAGCCCAAAGGAACUCAAUCCACAAGAGCCCAUAAGCUUUUCUUCUCUUCCUCUUCCUUUCUUUUUUUUUUUUGGCCGGCUUUCCUACUCUCUUUUUUUUUUCUUUCAUUUCCUUCUUUCUCUUUCUUUUUUUCUCCUUUUCCUUCUCUUCCUCUCCUUUUGGUCGGCAUCUUCCCUUCUCUCUUUCCUUGGCUUUCCUUUCUUUCCCUCUUUUUUUUUCUUUUUUCUCUUCCUUUCUUUCUCUCUCUCUCUUUUUCUUUUCCUUUCUUCUCCCUCUUCUCGACUUUCCUUUCUCCCCCUCUUUCUUUUUCUUUUUUUUUCUAUUCUUUCCAUCUCUCUUUCUUCCUCAUUAGCGUCUUUUCUACCUUUAGCCGGCUUUGUCACCAGCCUCCCCUUUUGAUUCAGACCCAACCCAUCAAAAAUAAAAUCUGCUCCACUCCUCUCUCAUUACCCAAACCCAUUGGCUUUUUCCCUUUUUUUUAAUGCCUUUUUUUGUUGUGAUUUUUUUUAUUGUGACUAGGAUAGUUGGCUGAUAGAAUUUAGGAUUUUUUUUUUGAUUUGCAGGUUUUUGUUGUUUGAAGAAAAUGAGAAUUUUUUGUUGUUGUUGGAUUUGGUUUUUUUUUUUGUUUCAAAAUCCUCCCCUCUUGUUUGUUUGAGAACCCCUUUUUAAGAGCUAGAUUGUCUAAAUUCUUGGACAAUCCAAAUGUGAAAUCAUGGUCUUCUGACCAUGAUUUCACAAGGUCUGGCACUAGGAGGGUUGGUAGCCGGAGAUGACCCAUUCUCCCCAAAUCUAACUACCUCUCAGGGGCAUUAAAUACCUUGCAAUGAUUGACUGGAGAGAGAAGCUGAGCAUACGCUCAAUCCUUUCCCUUCUCUGUUCUUUUUUAUUAUUAUUAUUAUUAUAUUAUAUUUUUAUUUAUUUUUAUUUUUGGUUGAUUUUUUUGGAAAUAGGUGUCUACACAUGGCAAAUGAAAAGUUGAGUCAAAUAAAAAUGGUUGAGAAAACUCAAGAAGUGAUAAUGGAAAAGAUGGUAAGAUUGAUGGAAAAUAUGACCACUAUAAAGGGAAAAGGUAAACUAAAGAACCUUUUGCUUUAAGUGAUGACAAAAGGGAGCCUUAGAUGCAUGUUCCUCAGGGCUACCAAUUGAGGCAUACCAAUUCCAACCACUUAUGGAUCAAACAUCAACCUAAGGACACAUUGUGCCAGCUUUAAGUGUCAAUGCUUGUAACCUAAUCCCUAUGUCUUAUUUGGACAAUCCUAAAGAUCAGAAAAAGUGAAAAGGAGUUUUAGGGACACAAAAAAAGUAUGACCAUUUGGAGGAACAUCUUAGAGCUAUUGAAGGUUUGGAUAGUUAUACUAUCAUUAAUGCUGCAGAGUUAUGUCUAGUGCUUGGUGUGGUGAUCCCACCUAAAUUUAAGAUCCUAGAUUUUGAAAAGUAUGAUGGGACAAAUGUCUAAUGGUUCACAUCAUUAUGUAUUGUCGGUGAAUGACUACUUAUACAAAAAAAAUGAUUAACUCUUGGUUCAUUACUUCUAAAAUAAUUUUACAGGGUCUGUAGUUGGAUGGUAUGUCAAAUUGGACAGAAAUAGAAUCCAAUCUUGGAAGGAUCUCGCUAGAGCUUUUAUAUCUCAAUAUAGGCACGUCAUAGUCAUAGCCACAGAUAGAUUUUCUUUACAGAGCAUGAAAAACAAAAUCACAGAAAGUUUUAAAGAGUAUGCUCAAGGAAGGAGAAAUAUGGCUGUGCAAGUCCAACCACCUUUCAAUAACAAGAAGACAACGAUCUUGUUUAUCAAUAUUUUGCAUACUCCAUACUAUGAAAGGCUAAUUGGCAAUGCCACCAAAAUUUCACCGACACGGUGAUUUCAUGAGAAAUUAUGAAAGUGCUAUCAAGUAAAGCCAUUCAUUCUGAACUUUUUGUACACAUGUUGGGUAAUGAACAAUUGAAGAAUGGUUAGGAGAUUGCAUUGGUAAAUCUAGGACCCCCUAGCUUGAAGUAGAAUAAUUAGAGGGUCAUGGAGUUAUUUGUCACUCUUGAGUCUCUUGCAAAGUAAUUGACUUAAAUCCUUAAUGCUUAUGCUUAAGAGUUUAGGGAAAGUUUUUCUGAACAAUGGGCUUUAAUUCCAUAUCAUUUAAAUAAAAAUGACACAUAUGAUGCAUUCUCAUAAUUGUUCUUCCAUUGUCAUUUCUUUAUUUACAUAUCUCUUCAAUUUAAGUUGUCAUAUCCCUACAUCCCUUUAAUUUUACCUAUCUCCAAGUUUCCAAGUAUUGAAUAUGAGGCUAGUAUUUAUAAAAAUUCUGGAUUUGAUUUUGAAAAAAAUACAUGUGUUGAUGAGCAUGAUAACAAAAAGAAUAUUGAUAAUUGUCUCUUGUCUCAUGAUUUGCUAAGGUUGGUCGUGCAAAAAGAAAACAGAUAGAACCUUAUAAUGAAUUGAAAAAUGUAAGGAAGGAAAAAAGAGAAAGAGAGAGAGAAAAGAACAAAAAAAAAUGAUGGAAAAAAGAAAAAAAUCAUCCUUUGUUUCAUAUUUAUCUCCUCUAGAGUUUGCUUUUCGAUGGAAGUAAUCAUGUUUGAGAUGAGAAAUGACCAUCUUUCAUUUUUUCUUCAUAAAUGAGAAAUUAUCAAUUUUUUACCCUUUUAAGCUUAUUGAAUUUUUUUUUAUAAUAUACCUUAUCUAAAGAUUACCUUCUAUAUUAUGAGGCAAUUACAAAAGAAAACCUUCAAAAGGCAUGAAUCUAAUCUUACUUCAAGGACAAAGAAAGAAUGCCUUUUAUUAAAAGGGUAAAAGUGGAGUAAUUUGAGUUCUACAAAAACAAAAAAUCUUGAACUCAACCCAUCAAAAUAGGAAAAUGUGACAUAAAAAAAAAGAAAGAAAUAAGAUGGAUUGAUGAAAGCAAACUAAGAUUGCACUGAAAUGGACCUUGAUGAAAGCAAAUUGCACUCCAACCAAGCUAUGGCGCCAACACAAAGCUAUAAUCCAAACAAGCAACCAAACUAUGGUGUCAAUUGAUUAUUAUUUUCUUAUUAUGAUUUAAACGGUAUCAUUUAAUACCUUCACUAUAUAAACCCAAAAUAAAACACUAACUCCAUUGUUACACAAGCUUUUCUCUCUCUAAUGCACAACACCUUUUCUCCCUUCUUUCCCCUUCAUCAAAUGGAAACCCUUGAAUUUUUCCAAAACUAAUCUCUUUCUCUCACCACUAAAAGCAAAGUUUUCUGCUUACUGAAAGCUUUUCUUUCUCUUAUUUUCCCUUUCCCAGAUUUUUGGCUAGUAUUUAUGGCCAUUUUUGUUUUAAUCUUAACUUGGAUUGGGAUUUUCUUUUUCAAAAAUUGAAUUUGAAAAUUGGUAGAUUAGGAUUGCUUUCAUUCAAACUUUUUUUUCUUUUCUUUUAUCUUUAUUAUUAUCUUUUUUUAAUUUUUUUAAUAUUUUACUUAUCUUUAUUUUUGUUAGUGAGACACCUUGGACAAAAUAGGGUGUCUACAAAGACUAUCUAACCAUCUUUUACUAAUCUUUUUUUCAUCUUCCAUCUUCUAGUAUCCAACCAUUUCUUUUUUUGAAGGGCUCAAGAAAUUGUUGAGAAGGUGCAAUGCUGACUAGAAUUUAAGGGUAAUGAGAACGAUGGAGAUCAACGAGAAUUAGAGGAGAAAAAGACUCCCAAACUAGUGUUUUGUCUACAAUCUUUCCAUGGUUUUUCAUGGUUAGAUGAUGCUAAAGGAAAGGUUGUUGGUAUAUUUUGUGUUUGGUGUCAAUGAUCCAACGAUGUAUGUAUUUAUAGGGCUUCAAAGGGAUUGUAAGGGACGUAUAUGGUGUUUGUGAAAGAAUAUUUGUCACUAGAUAUAUAUCUCAUCAGGUUUGAUAUGGGGCAACUUGUAAGGUACAUGGAGUGUUUGUUAGGUGUUACAAAUAACUGUAAAAGAGCAAAAGAGGGUUACGGUUUGAUAUCUAACCCUUGAUUAUUAAUAAAAUGAAUUGGUUUAUCAAAAAAUAAAAAGUAUAUAAUCAAUAAAAAAACUCUCAAAAUUUUCAUUUUGUAGUCCUUUGACCCUUGUAAAUAGUCUAAUAUCCAAGGAAGACCCAUUAUAAACAAUACUUUUUACUUUUUGAUGCUAACAAUACUAUAUCAACUAAAAUAACAAAGAAUAAGGAACAAUUUAUCUAAUAAGGGUAAAUUAUUAUAGAGAAAAUUGUGAGAAAUAACCUUCUUUACAAGCCUAAUUUAAAAAUAGUCCUCAUAAUAAUUUCAACUAUUUUUACCCAAUUUUUGGCAUGACUUGAUAUCAAUGCCCUUUAAACAAUUUCAAACAAAGUAAAUGGUCCCGUUUAUCCUUAUCUCAGCAUCUAGAAAAAAAAUUCUAAAAUUAUUAUUUAUCUAGCCAUCUAGUUCUCUCUUGGCAUCCCAAAUUCUGUCACUUACAAAAUGCUAUUUAUCUUGCCAUCUGGCUCUCAAUUCGCCGUCCCAAAGAGCAGAGAUGACAUCAAGGUCUGUGUUUUGGGUUGUUGGGUUUAUUGGUUUAUAUUCACAGAAUAAAGUCCUAAAGUCGAGGGGUUAAAAUUGAUUAAACAUGUAUGUAAAUUAGAGAUCUAUGUGACCUUGGCAACUUAAACCUGGCUACUGAAAGUAGGCAAAUCAAUUAGUUAUUAAGCAUUACGUUAUUGGUUUUUAAGCGUUGAGUCAUUAGUUUCUAGGCAUAGGAGAAAUAAAGGUUUUUAGGCAUUGCGUUACUGGUUUAUAGGCAUUACGAGAUUGGUAUUUAAGCAUUAUGUCACUAGUUUGUCAGCAUUGCAAGACUGGUAUUUAGGCAUUACGUGAUUUAGGCAUUUCGAGACAAUCUUUUAGGCAUUACGAGACUAAGUAGUAGGUAUUGCGUGAUUGGUUUUUAGGCAUUGUGUGACUGAGUUGUAGGGAUUGUGGGAUUGAUUUUUAGGCAUUAUGUGACUGGGUUGUAGGGAUUGAUUUUUAAUGUGUGGGGAAUUGAUUUUAUGGGUCCAUUCAUUACAUCCUUCAAUAAUGAAUACAUUUUGAUUGCUGUUGAUUAUGUCUCUAAAUGGGUUGAAGCUGUUGCAUUGCCAAGGAACGACUCUAAAGUAGUGAUAAACUUCUUGCAAAGGAAUAUCUUCACACAUUUUUGGUACAUUUAGAGCCAUAAUUAGUGAUGAAGGAUCUCACUUCUGCAACAAAAAUUUUGAGGCAUUCUUGGCCAAACAUGGAGUGAAACACAAAAUAGUUACUACUUAUCAUUCUCAAACAAGUGGCCAAGCUAAAGUUUCAAAUCGAGAGAUUAAAAGAAUUUAGGAGAAGAUUGUAUGUCCUUCCAAAAAAGAUUGGUCCAAAAAGUUGGAUAAUACUUUAUGGGCUUAUAGAACAACAUGUAAAACUCCAAUUAGGAUGUCUCCUUAUAGAUUGGUGUUUGGAAAAGCUUGUCAUUUUCCCGUCGAGGUUGAACACAAGGCAUAUUGGGUAAUUAAGAAACUUAAUUUUAAUCUUCAAGUAGCCAGAGAAAAAUGUCUUUUGCAACUCAAUGAGAUGGAUGAAUUUCGUCAAGAAGUAAUGAGAGUGCAAGAAUCUACAAAGAAAAGACAAAAUGAUGGCAUGACAAAAAAAUCAUAAGGAGAAGUAUUGAGCCUGGCCAACAUGUUCUCCUAUACAAUUCUUGUUUAAGAUUAUAUCUUGGAAAGUUGAAAUCUUGUUGAUCUGGACCUUUCACUGUGAUGAAAGUAUAUCCCCAUGAAGCAGUGGAGGUAAUUGAUGAUAAAUCAACCUUCAAGGUGAAUGGGCAACGAUUAAAGCAUUAUUAGGUGGCGAUUUCGAUUGUCAAAGGUCCUCAAUCACGCUUAUCGAUGCAAUUUAAAUCAGAGAAAGUCAAACCAAAGAUAAUAAAUCAAGUGAUUCUUGGGAGGCAACUCAAGCAUUCUAACUUACAUUUUUAUUUUCUUUUAAUUAUUUAUUUACUUAUUAUUAAAUUAUUAACACUUUAUUUUUAUUUUGCAGGUACAUAUAUAGAAAAAAAUCAAAAAAUAAAAAAUUUUAAGGAAAAGGGGUAGGCCGCGACUUCCCCAAGAGGAGGCUACGGCCCAACAAGACCCAACAACGUAGGCCGCGAUGCCCCUAAAAGGUUGGUCGCGACCCCGUUAAAAAAAAAAAAACCCAUUAAGGCCUCGUUGCUCCGAAAACAAGGCCUCUGCCUCGUGGCUUUUUAUAACAUGAACCAUGGCUCCCACAAAGGGUAGGCCAUGACCCCCACUAUUAUGGGCUGCCAUUGAAGGGUAACCCACUACCCAGAAACCACCUCCCAUUUAUUAACCCCCUCUCUAUUGGGGGCUACCAACAAUGGACAACCCACAACACAUACAUGCCCCUUAUAUGAACCCCUCCCCCUUUACUUCAGCGCCCCUACCCUUCUUCCCUUAGUGCAAUUUUCUACACUUUUCACAUUUCUUUCCCACCAAUUCUUCUCCGUCUCUCCUCUACUCAUCCCCCUACCCUUAUUUCCCUUUCAUCUUUCUUUCUCCAUACCUAUUACCCACAUCAAUCUCUUCCUUCCACACUUAUUUUGGAACAAAUUUGCUCUAACUUUUAAGUAAGUUUCCAUAUUUUUUCUCAUAUUUAUAUAUUUAUAUCUAUUUUUUUUAUUUUUAAGAAAUAUUGUUGACUUAUUUUCCAUUAUUUAUUUUGUUGGAAAUUUGUGAUGAGUAUUGAUGAUUCUUGAGACAAUGUGCUUAGUUAUUUUAUGUGUAUGGUAGAUUGUUUAGAUUUGUGCUUCACAUUUAUAGGGUAUGUUGAAAUUGGGAAUAUGGGUGAGUUUCUUGAUUUUCAAUUAUUUUUUCCUAUGCGUAGUAGUUUAGAAAUAUUAUAAUUGUUGGAUUUUUACUUGAUACUACAAGCAUUAUUUUAUUAUGAUGAGAAGACAUAUGGGUUAAUAUCGUUGGUGGUCUAUUGUGUUUUGUUGGUAUUUUUCUUUUCUUUUGGUUGAGAAUUAAUUAUAGGAAAUUUAUGAAUGGCACCCGAACGAUUAAGACAAAAUUCUAAUGGUUUGUUUGAUUAUACUAGAUUUGUGUCAGCUAAUGCUAUGGCUAGACACCAAUUCUUUUGCUAACAAAAUUACAAUACUUGAACGAGAAUUGAAUCAAGGGUUGAUUACACACAUUGACCUUCAACCAAUGAUUGAGAGCCACUACUAGCAAAAAUUUUGUGCCUUGCUAGCAGCUGCAAGCAUCCCUCUAGUAAGAGAAUUUUACGCUAACGUUGUUGAAGCUAUUAGUGAUUUUCUUUCUAUGCGAGGUAAUUAGUUCCAUUCUAGAGCCAUGUCAUCAAUAAAUUUUAUGAAGCUUCUAAUAUUGACAACGAUGGCUAUGGGCAAUUUUUGUCUGAGCAUGAAGAUUGGGAUGAUAUCAUUCAUAUACUUUGUGAGGUGGGUGCUCAAUGGUAAUUUUUUAAUAAUGAACCUGUUUCAUUCAAAAGGAAUGUGAUGAAACCAACUUCUAAAAUAUGGUUGUAUUUUGUGGCUUCCAAAUUACUUGCUACCACACGUACCAGUAACGUCACAAAAGAUUGAGCCAUUCUUAUUCAUUCCAUCAUGAUUGGAUGCACAAUUGAUAUUGGUUGCGUAAUUUACAAAGCCAUGACUCACACUGCACAAUCAAAGUAUGAAGGCUUGUGGUUCCUUUCUUUGAUUACAGCUUUGUGCAAACAAGCUGGUGUAACUUGGGAUGCUAGUGGGAAGUUGUUGCACCCUAAACAUCUAAUUGAUCUCAAUCUUAUCCUUAGACAACCUCAAACUUCGACUAAGGGUAGUUUUUCUUUUACACACCAUCCACGCCCCCUUUCGACCAAGACACCAACAAUUGUCAAUGACUUAAAAAAUUGAAAACCUAGAGCACUUAGUUUCAUCAUGGGUUACUUUCAUCUUGGGAUGUUUCAGAGAGUUUGGCUUGGUGGCUUAAAUGUAGAGAGUUAAGAGGUCUUCAUGUUAACUUUUUCUUGAAGUACAUAUGUUUCACCCUCCUACCUUGUUCUUAUGUACCUUUUCACAUACGCCUUUUUCUUUUAUACAUGUUCACAUACUCUUUUUUCUCUAAACUUGUUCUCAUAUAGCUUUUUUCAUCUACCUUUUCUCUAUUACCUUCUACUUGAGAACAAGGCUUAUCGCAUCAAAUUACUUCAACGGUCACUCAUAUUAUAUGCCAUAAAAUCACCACUUUAAUGUCCAUAUAAUGUGUUACAUUAACAGUUAUUCCCAUUAAAUUUCUUCAUAAUAAUGACAUUCAUUAGGCGUAUUAAAGCCUAUUAUUGAGUAACCACCUUUUUUGGCACUAUAUAUAGAGCCUCACAAUUCAUUUAUGGGGGUUUCUCUUUUGGCUCAAAGCUAACACAUUCUUCUUUAGAGCUUCUCUUUUUAAUUAUCUUCUACUUCAUAAUUCUCUUUCACCUGCCACAAUACUUAGAACUACAGGAACUACUCCGAUUUUUCUCUUUACCUCAUCUGGCACAUCUUUUUACUAGUUUGCAAUGCUUCUUCUUCUUAUUAGAAGAACCCCUUUUACAUUUUGGUGACUCUACUAGGGAUGAGUGAUUGCAUUAGGAAAAAGCUUACUAGAAAAAAGAAACUAUCUUACAGGAAAAGAUGAACAGUUCCACCAUCACUUGUUGAAUGUAGAGGCUUGCGUAGAAUAUUCCACAAGAAGAUGUAAGCAGGAGAAUUAUUGAUUAAGAAUAAUAGGGUCCACAACAAUUCGCUUCUCACUCAUGUAUGAUAUUUCUAUGAUUUUGACUUUUCAUUUCUUUAUAAAUUGCAAUUUGACAUUAAAAAAAAUCAAAUUCAGCUGCUAGCAUUAUCGCUUAUAUUUUGACUAUAAUUAUAUUAUAUUAUUGGUCGCAAGCUUUAUCGCUCAUUCUUUAAUCAUAGAUCAUCACUCUUACUUCAGUCACAAGCUUUACUUCUCAUUCUUUGACCAUAAUUUAUCGUUCAUAUUCCAACCACUAGCUUUAUCGCUUAUAAUUUUUCUGUAAUGAUGUUACACUAUUGGCCACAAGCUUUAUCGCUCAAUUUUUGGUCUUAGCUUAUUACUCACAAAUUGGCCACAACUUUCACUUUUAUUUAUUUAAAAGGGUGAAUUAAUCUCCUUCACUUCAGGUUAGAGUUAAUCUCCUUAAUGUAAAGUUGGGAGUUCCCCUUUGACCGCAUACAAUGUGAAAUGUGAAUAAGUACGCAACAAGCGUUUAACAUUAUUAUUAUUGCAAAAAGAAAAAGAAAUACGAUAUACCAAUAGCAAAGCACUAGCUCAAAUGAGCUUUCAAAAGACUAGUUAAUUACAUAUUCCAUAAAAAAGAGCUAUUAUUGAUAAAGAUAUCUAAUUGUUCUCGUACUUCAGCUUCACGCUUUCUCAGUGAAGCUAUCUUUGUUACAAUGUCUUCUAACUCUUUUUCUAAAGAAUAUUUGUUGAGAAAAGCAUGGCUUUAGAUCUACAAUUAUUGAGGCAUUCAAGUUUGGUGAGUAUUUAUUAACAGAGCAUGAGAAAUCAUUAAAGCUUUACCCAACACCUUCAUCAUUAAACAAGUGACAUCCACGUUUUUAAAAAAAGAGGUACUCCAAAAUUCUCCCUUUAUACUGAAAAUAUGUUCCAAGUAUUCCACGUACUUUGAUUAAAUUUGAAAACUAUGGAAGUCAAUUUUCCUACCACUCUAUUCAAUACAUGCUAUUUAAGCACCCAAAACACUAUUGCCAUCUUUGUGUGCUGGCACUAGGGAGAAAAUUACGGUGUUAACUACAAUUUCGACAUCAGAUUCUCUGACUAUGUUGCAAUGCACGAUGGAUGCAAUUGCAAGACCAAUAUCUUUGCAUAAGGAUUGGCCUAAUUCACCUUGAAUGUUAGCAAUGAUAACUUUAGCUCUGUGCUUGCAAAAGAGUCUUGUGAUGCACUCCCCAAUACCGCUAGCACCUCCUGUGAUCAAUGCCACCUGGCCUUCUAGCCUUAGAACAAUUCUCAAUAAAAAAAAGACCAUGUAAUUGUCGAUAAUCAGUAACUAGCAUUAUUAAUAGAACUAAGUUACAAUUUUAUGUGUCUGGCUGCAUGCGUACAAUUUCUUAGAGAUAAAAUAUUGAUUGACAAUUGUUGCAGAAAUACUUAAAAAUAUUUCAUUAAUGGUUAAAAUUAAUUAGUUAUAAAAUAUUUUUAAACCUUAGGAUCUCUUGUAUCAUUUUCUGUUAUUAUUAUCUAAUUUAUUGUUUAUUGAUGAUAUUUGUGUUUUUGAGAAUUAGUUAAGAAAUUAUAAACUACCUCAGUAAGCGUACGAUUAUUAUAAAUCUAUUAAAUAAUAUUAUGAGAAAAUUAUGAAAGAUAACUUUUCUUACAAAUUCAAUUCAAAAAUAUCUUUUAUUAUAAUUUUAAUUAUUUUUAAUCAAUUUUUAACAUAAUUUAAUAACAAUAUUUUUUAAAAUAAUUUUAGAUAAAUUUAAAAAAAUUAAUUUUUUUUAUCCUACCAUCUAUAUAAAAGUUUUAAAAAUAAAUCUCUAUUUGUCUCACCGUUCAUUUCUUUCUCAGUAUCUUAAAAGAGCAGAGGUGAUAUCAUGAUAGUGUCUUAGGGUCUUGGAUGCAGAGGUUGCCCAUACACUAGCUGUUUCAGCUGCCGCUCGUGGUUCGGUUCCUAGGGAGAAGAGGCCUGAUCCACCGAUUUUGGGAUUAGAAGUUUGAGGAAGGAAGUUCUCAAACCCUAUAGGUCUUUCUGCUGGCUUUGAUAAAAAUGCAGAAGCUGUUGAAGGCUUACUUGGUAUGGGUUUUGGCUUUGUGGAAGUUGGUUCGGUAACCCCUGUUCCACAGGAGGGUAACCCAAUGCCACGCAUCUUUAGAUUGCGACAAGAAGGGUGAGAAUGCCUAAUCUCCCUUUCUACAAUUUUUUUAAUUAUGAUCUUGCUUGUUUGGUGGCAUUGGAUUGGAGCAGGCAAUAAUUUAAUGUGGUUUUUCUGAGAGAUUUGAUUGCUUGAACUCAUGUUGUUUGGAGUUUAAGAUUUUCUAUUUUAUCUAACUCGAUUUAUUCGUCAGUGCUAUCAUCAAUCGGUGUGGGUUCAACAGUGAAGGAAUUGUUGCUGUUGCAAGGCGAUUGGGUGCCCAGCAUGGUAAGAGGAAGUUGGAGACUUCAAGCUCUUCAUCACCCUCCAGUGAUGAAGCCAACCAUGGGGGCAAAGCUGGUCCUGGAAUUCUAGGGUUCAAUCUUGGAAAGAAUAAGACAAGUGAUGCUGCUGCUGCUGAUUAUGUUCAAGGAGUUCACACAUUAUCCCAGUAUGCCGAUUACUUGGUAGUUCUAUAUUCUUUAUUUUGGUUAAUUCAUUCCUCUCCAUGUUUUUUAUGAGUACAAAAUCUUCACACAAGAUAAAUGAUAGAAUUGGUAACUUGUAUUAUCUAAAAAUGUUGCUUAGCAUGACUUGCUCCCUUGAAAUUUCCUAUGCUUACCUCUUUAAGGAGGGAGGUGGAUACAUAUUUUUCAAAAUAUUAAUAUGUUUUCUGAUAUAACCUCGCGGGGGGGAUGGGGUUUGUAAUAUUACUACAAGAAGUUUUCCUUGAGUUUUUCUUUGUUUAAAACAGCCGUACAAUUCAAUUGUUUAAAUGCCAUAAUAUUGACCUCCUUUUGCACUACUUUCUAAGGUUAUUAAUGUUUCGUCACCAAACACUCCUAGAUUGCGUAUGCUUCAGGGAAGGAAACAGUUGAAGGAUCUUGUUAAGAAGGUAUAGAUCUCUGGCUCUGAACUUAAUCUUCCUUUUCUGAUAUAUUACAGCAGAAGUUUGAUCUUCUCAACUUUGCUUUGCAUUUUCGUCAAAGGUUCAAGCUGCUCGUGAUGAAAUGCAAUGGGGAGAGGAGGGUCCUCCUCCAUUGCUUGUUAAAAUUGCUCCAGACUUGUCUAAAGAAGACUAGAGGAUAUAGCAGCCGUAUGUCCUAUUUGCAUUUAGAUACUACUUCAUCGCUUGCCUAUAUAAUGUUCUUAUUCUUCUUUUUCUUUGAUCUUAGGUUGCUCUUGCCCUCCGCUUGGAUGGAUUGGUAAUUUUCUUCCCCUUUAAAAUUUUCUAUAUUUCUUGUCCAUGUCUUGUGCGAUUAGACUUUUCUCACUUGAUGGUGCAUUUCAGUCAUAUCUCUAACUCAUAUGCUUUUAUAGUUUGUAUUCAUAUAUGACCUUUUUGUUUUUUCACUAACAUUUUGGACAAAUGGAACAAGUUUUACUCUAGUCCUUACAUUAAUCUGUAAAGAAAGUUGCAUUUUCUUAAAGAAUAAUAUUCCCAAUGAAUUAUUUCUUCUAAAUGCAAUGAAAGAGCAUUGCUCAGUAGUAGUCUAAAUGUUAAUAAUGGUGUGAUUUAAGAAGCUGUGAUGUCAUAGUUUCUUUUUUGUUUACUUCAUUUUUUCUAUAUAAGGUUCAGAGUGAAUAGUAUCAGUGUGCAUUAAUUUUUUGUUUCUCUUCCUUUUAGUGUUCUUCCCUGACAUGCUACUUUCUCUGUUUUCUAGAUUAUAUCAAACACAACCAUUUCAAGACCAGAUCCCAUAAAUAAAAAUCCAGUCUCUGCAGAAUCUGGUGGCUUAAGCUUGAAGCCUCUCUUUAAUUUGUCAACCAAUGUCUUAAUUUGCCUAGAGAAGGAUGGUUUCAAGUCUAUCCAUGAUGCUGUUGGUGCUGAUUGCAGAUAGUAUUAAUACAAUCGAUCAAAUUAUGUUGCAUGUUAUUUAUCUCUAGAGAGAAGUCCAACAUCCCUUUAUAGAGUUAGUUAACCAUUUAGACUGCUAACAUAUAGAGUUCUGAAUUAAUUACCAACAUUAACCUUAAAAAUGAAAUACUGCGUCUAGCAUUUUCUACCAUGUAUGGCAACUCAAUUGGGAGUUGUGCUGACGUGACUUGUGAGAUGAUUUGUGGAACCAUACAUGCAUAGCAUCAGCAAAAGAUGCAGAGCGGAUGCUUUACAAUUAGAGCAACGUAAUACAAAUAUAAGGUGAUUCACGCUGCUGUCUGCAUCUAGACUGUAUGCAUCAACUGACUAAUCAAUAAGAUAGGAAAUGCAUGUAUCAGUACAACACUUAGAAUAUGAAAAUUACUGUAUAAUUUUUCUCAUUGUCUCUUGUAAACCUAUUGUUACAUAUGAUUUUUGGUAUGAUGAAUCUUUAAUUUGAUGCUACACGAGUAAAGAAGAUGAAGAAAAUUUCAAAGAUAAGACGACUUUAUGAUUGUGUUUAACUUAUCAACAAGAAGAAUAAAGCAAAAUAAGGUUUGGGUUCUCCUUAGUCUUAGCCUUAGUACAUAAGAAAGGAAAAACUCGGGUUUUAAUUUUAACAAUCCAGGCCAGGCCAUGGUUGUAUCCAGAGUUUUUAUAUUUUCAUCAUUUUAAUUUAACUUUGUUCAAUUAAACCCAUUUCUAUUUUUGUUGUAUUAACAAAUUGUUAAGAUAAACAAGCUUUACAUCAUCAAUUAUUUACAUGUCAACCGGUCAACCAAAAACAAAGAAAACAUGUUUAACAAAAAAAAAAUAAUAAUAAAAGAAAACAAACAAAGAAAAGGAAAACGUGAACGGUGUUCGGCCAAAAAAAAAAAAAAAGAAACAAACAAAGAAAGCCAACCAAGUUAUCAAGGCCAUGGAGGAUAGAAAACUUGAAAACGAUUAUAAUAACUAACAAUCCACGCCAUGGUUGUAUCCAAGGUUUUUAUAUUUUCACCAUUUUAAUUUUGUUUAAUUAAACUCAUUUCAACUUUUACUGUAUUAACAAAUCGUUAAGAUAAACAAGCUCUACAUCAUCAAUUGUUUACAUGUCAGCUGAUCAACAAUUCUUUUGAUCCGUUUUGACUCUCUUUAACAAAACAAAUAUUUAAGUAUUACUAUAAGCAAGCUUUAAUUGCCUGAAUUAUAGCUUAACUACAUGAACAAGCUAUAGAAAGGAAUCCAUUCACCAUUAAUAAUCUUACCAAACACGUCAACUACUUUCUCAUCAAUAUCCAUUGCUUUAAGUUGUUCGUACAUCAACUACUUUCUCAUCAAUAUCCAUUGCUUUUAAUUGUUCGUUCUCACAUGAAAAAAAAAACAAAACGUGUUUGGGUAAAAAAAAAAAAGAAACAAACAAAGAAAACGAGAAUGGUGUUUGGCCAAUUAAAAAAACAAAUAAUGAAAACGUGAAUAUUGUUUAGAAAAAAUAAACCGAAAAACAAAAUACAAAGAAAGUCAAUCAAGUCAUCAAGGCCACGAAAGAUAGAAAACUUGGAAAGGAUUGUAAUCAAUAACAAUCAUAUUUCCACGAAGGAUAGAAAACUUGGAAAUGUAUAUUCUAACAAGGGUAUGUUGUCUAUUUUAAUAAAAAGUUCUCAUAAAGUAAUGGAGCUUUUGGCUUUAAUGGUCCUAUCUUCUAUUUCUAAACAUCUGUGUGAUUUAGUGUCUUGAAAUGGUCAUAUCUUUUAACUUAUAAGUUUGAUAUGCAUUCUUUUUUUCCAAGGAAAGAUCCUAUUAAUAGGUUGUGGUGGUAUUAGCAGGUAAAGUCAGGAUACUGAAUGAUCAUUACCUUCAUCUUAUUAUAUAGAUGAUGUCACUAUUAUCAUAAUCGUCAUCACCAUUGCUGCUAUUGUUAUUAUUUUCAUCUCCACCAUUAAUUUGAUUUAUGCAUUCAAUAUAGUGGUGAGGAUGCAUGCAAUAAAAUAAGGGCUGGAGUAACUCUUGUUCAGCUUUAUACUGCAUUUGCAUAUGGAGGCCCUGCCUUAAUUCCUCAAAUGAAGGUAUUCUCCUUUAAUUUUAUGAGUUCUAUAUUUAUUUAUUUUCUUUCUCCUUUACAUCCUAAAGGGUAUAAAACAUUAUACACUGACAAAAAAUGUGUCGUCUUCUCUGAUGGCAUAUCUGUCACCAGUUUGUUAUUUGGAACUGCAACUUUUUUGGGACUUGGUGAAAUAUCAUAAUCUUGUAAAUGCUCAUGUCUUUAUCCUAGUUCAGGUUUCAUCAGUGUCAUUUUAAGAAAGAAGUUAAGGAUAUUUCUUGAGUCCUGGAUUUUGCAUUCAAUUUGUAUGCUUUUGGGGUAUCUUUCGACUUUUGGAGGGCUGAUGUUGGGUUGGGAUCAUUAAGUUGUCGGGAAUGGCCAAUUGCUCAAAUGGAUGAAUUAUUGUUUUUGUUAAAUAUUUUGUUUGGCUUAUUGUGAUUGUGCUGUUUUUGCAGGCUGAACUUGCUGAGUGCCUAGAGAGGGAUGGUUUCAAGUCUGUCCAUGAAGCUGUUGGUGCUGAUUGCAUAUGGUAUUAGUACUUACCUUGCACCAAGAACUUCCUCACAAAAUAGCUGUAUUGUAAUCUUUUGUCCUGUGCUUAUCCUACAUUAUCACUUUUGCUUGGCUCUAAUUUUUUUUAGAGGAAAUUGUGGGAAAUGACCUUCAUAGUAAGGUCACUUCAAAAAUGAUUGUCUCUAUAAUUUUAACUAUUUCUAGCCAUUUUUUGGCAUGACUUAACAAGAAUACCUUUUAAUCCAAUUAAUCCAAAUGAAAGCGCGUCUCAGUUUCUUUUUUUCUGCUCUCCCGUCAUUCAGCUUAAAAUUUCAAAAUUAAAUCUCGAUUUAGAUUUAGCUAUCCCUCCGUCCAGCUCUCCAAAGCCAUCGAGGUCUAUAUCGACAACCAACUUUCUCAUGAUCCUAAAGUGCAGAGAUGACAUCAAGGUAUUUGUUAUGGGUUCUUGCAUUUAUUUAGGGUUAUUCAUAGAAGGAAAAAGUUGAUGGAUAAAUUAUAUGAGUUUGGAAACUUAAAUCUGGGUGGGGGUAGCAAAAUCAAUCAGUUUAUAGGCGAUGCGUGAAUAUUUGUUAGGCAUUGAGUCAUUGGAUAUUAGGGUGUGUGACUGGAUUUUAGGAAUCGUUACCUAUUUAUUUGGCAUUAGGUGCUUGAAUAUUUGUUGAGCAUUGCGUGGGUUCUUUAUAGGCAUUACGUGACUGAAUAUUUGUUAGAGGUGCGUGACAAGCGUUACGUGACUGAAUAUUUGUUGAGCAUUGCGUGACCUAUUUGUAGGCAUUGCGUGACUUUAGCUACUUAAUGCUGAAGGUGAUUCUCUACUGAUUAUCUUCAAUAACCUAAUAAGCUCUAAUGUAAUUAAUGAAGUUUAUAUUUAAUUUCAGACUUGUAUAGUAGCAAUAGUAUUAGAUUUUGGUUGGUCUACCAUAAUGCCUAAAUUAAAAAAAAAAAAGAGAAAAGAGGAAACGAUAACGAAUUUCUUGGAAAAGAGAAAAGAUAUAACAUUAAAAUCCUUUUUCAUUAGUGAAAAAGAGAGAAAAUCUUUAAGCUGCUUUUUAUUAAGAAUUUCUUGAAAAAUGAUGUUUGGCCUAGCUUUCACUUUUAAGAGGUAGCUAAGAUGAAAGGGCAGGCUAAACAGGUACUUAAUAACCAAUUCAGCCCCCCUUCAUUGCAUUGAUAUGGCUGUAGAAAACGAAGAGUCAGCUUUCAUACCUAUAAAUAAAGGGAACCAUUAACCAUUUGAAUCAAAUUCAAUUAUCUUAAUCAAUCUCAGAUAAUUGAAAAAUGACCUCCAAAGAUCUAAGAGUCGAGAAGGGGAAAGAGGCAACCUCUAAAGAGGAGGAGGUGCCUUUGAGUGUGAGGGACCAGUUGCACAUAUUCUUGAGUGUGAGGGACUAGUUGCACAUAUUCUAGCAGGAGAUGCAAGUUCUCAUCGACAACCUGAUGCAAAGGACUUUUGACCUAGAAGUUGCCAUCUUGAGCAACGAAAAGAUUCUUGUCGAGAUAGAGUUCAAAGUAGAUGAACUUAUGAAGAAAUGAACUACGGUUCAUUUUUUUUGUAUCAUUUUCUUGUAUUUUCGGAGGGGUCUUUUUAAUAAAAUUUGAAUAAAAUUUAUAGCAAUUUUUAUUUUCAUUGAGCACAUAUUUUGUUGAGUUAUUUUCUUCGUUUAAGUUAUAUUAUACUGAAAAACUUCGUGAGUGGAUGUUAGGCAUUGGGUGACCUAUUAUUAGGUAUUAGGAGAGUGGGUUAUACGCGGUGCGUGAAUUGUGCAAUACAUAUCUUCUAUUGAGACAUUGCAUGAGUAGUUUGUAUGUAUAUGGAAUAGAGUACCUAUGGUGACAUGUUGUUAUGUAUUGCGUGACGUUGGGCCAGUACGUGAUUGUUUAAGUUAGCAUAACGUGAGUGGAUAUUAGGCAUCGAUUGAAUUAUUAUUAGGUAUUGCGAGACUAGUGGUGCGCAAUUCACCUCUUGUUUAGAGGCUUAUUAUUCAUUGAGUGACUUAUUCUUAGUUGUGGCGAGCCUGACGGUGUGUGACUGACUUGUGCAAUUCAUGUGUUGUUUUGAAGUUUUUGUUCAAUAGUUUUUUAGGCAGUGCGUGACUGGUUUUUAUAUAUUGCGUUACCUGUUGUAGCGAGAGUGGUGGCACGUGACUUGUGCAAUUCAUAUGUUGUUUUGAGGGUUUUGUUCAGUAGUUUUUUAGGCUUGCGUGACUGGUUUUUAUAUAUUGCGUUACCUAUUGUAGCGAAAGUGGUGGCUUGUGACUUGUGCAAUUCAUGUAUUGUUUUGAUGCUUUUGUUCAGUAGUUUUUUAGGCUUGCGUGACUGGUUUUUAUAUAUUGCGUUACCUGUUGUAGCGUGAGUGGUGGCACGUGACUUGUGCAAUUCAUGUGUUGUUUAAAGGCUUUUGUUCAGUAGUUUUUUAGGGUUGUGAGAUUGUUUUUUAUAUAUUGUGUGACCUGUUGUUAUGUAUUACGAGAGUGGUGGCACGUGACUUGUGUAAUUCAUAUGUUGUUUUGAGGUUUUUGUUCAGUAGUUUUUUAGGAUUGCGUUACUGGUUUUUAUAUAUUAUGUGACUUGUUGUUAUAUAUUGCGAGAGCGAUGGUGCAUGACUUGUGCAAUUCGCCUCUUGUUUAAGGGCAUUUGUUCACUAGUUAUUAGGCAUUGCAUUAAUAUGUAUUAGACAUUGCGACACUUAAUUUCUGUAAAAUUUUUGCGGUUGGCCAAAUGUGACUUAGGCAUUGCAUAAGUAGUUUCUAUGCAUUGAGGGGCUAUUUUUGAUAAAUUGACUGAUCGUGAUACUUAUUUUCUAUUAAAUUUCAGCGACCUGCCAAAUGUGAAGCUUAUGAUUACAUACGGUGGUCAUUGGGUCGAUGACACUUACAAGGGUGGUGAGACACGAGUGAGGGGUGUUGGGAGUGAUUUGUCAUUUUCGAGACUAGUGAAGCUGGUUAAAGAGGUUGUUGGGUCAACUCACAUAAUAAUGAAAUCGAGCUACAUACAUCGUUCAGCCAUGCCUCAGGGGUUUCGUGCGCAGUUAUCAGGGAUGAUGAAGAUGUAGCGAGUAUUUUGUGAGAUGAAAGGACAGUUGUUGUGUUUGUGACAAUUAAGGCAGGAAAUGCAAACAAUAUUUCACAUGAGCAUGGUAUCCAGCAUAGUAAUCAACAAGAACAUAAUGUUAAUUAUUUUGACAUACCACACCAUGCAUUUCCUAACAAACAACCAUGGCAAUCACGUUUAAUGUAUCCUCAUGAAUUUCAGCAGCCCGACGCACACAUGAGGUGUCUGCAAAUGAUGUCUGCACAAUUUCGACCGGAAUGUGCAUAGAACGAAAUACUCGGUACUUUGUAACAAACACAACUAUCGCUCGAAAAUGCAUUGGGUCCAUUGUCAUUAGCAAACGACACUGUGAUGGUUGUGAGUGAUGACGAUGCAUCGAUCAGAUUGAAGAUGAUGUUGAAGAGGACGACACGACGGAUCGGAACAAUGAGUUGUGUUAUGACUGUGAAGAUGAUUUUGUUUGCAAACAUAAAGACCGUUCAGAGGACAACAGGGUUGAGCAGACCGACAUUCCUGAUUGCAAUCAUGCAGAUGGCGGUACAGGUCAUACCAUAACUGUUGUGUUAGAAGAGGUUGAGUUGGACGACCAUGGUAGAACCGUUGAAUUAGAAGAUGUUGAGGGUGCGGACCCUAUUUACGAUAACACCAUCGCACUUGAGAACGACAUUUGUUCGCCUGAUGACAGUGAUCAAGAGAGGGUAAAUACAAGGGGAUCUCGUUAAUGGAUUAUUCUCGGGCUAGAUAUGAUAUCUUUCCAAACAGUUGGGAGUGAGGAAUCCAAAUCAAUGGACGAUUACUUAUAUCGCGAAAAAGUGUUUUUAUCGAAGGCUGAAUUGAAACGAACUUUGAGCAUGUUGGCACUAAAAGAGCAUUUUGAGUUUAGAGUUAAAAAGUCAUGUCACGUUCAUUUUGAGGUUGGUUGUAAAGAUAAGACAUGCAAGUUUGCUUUGCAAGCAACGAAGUUGCCUGAGGGAGAAUAUUGACAACUUCCAACAUUGCAGAAGGUACACACGUGUACUGUCGAUGGUUUGCACUGUAGGUACCGAACUGCGAGCGCGAGGGUAAUUGGUGAGCUUAUCUCCAGCAGGGUGCAAGGAAAUUGUGUAACCUCAUUGAGACUAAAGGAAAUAAUAGAAGAGAUGAAUCGCAAGUGGGGAUUGCAAUGCCUAUAUGGUAAGGCCUGGCAAGUGAAGGAGUACGCAGAGAGUCUUAUGUUCAGUCUGCAGGAAGAGUCAUUCCAACUAUUUCCCUCCUAUUUUCAUAUGUUGGAAUGUGAAAAUCCAGGUACUAUCAUGUUUGUCGCUACUGAUGGGGAACAAUGAUUCAAAUAUUGUUUCUGGGCAUUUGAGUCAUGUAUUCGAGGGUUCAGUGCUGUAAUGCGGCUUGUAGUCACUAUCGAUGCCACACAUUUGAAAGGCAGAUUCAAGGGUAUUCUGUUUGUGGCGAUAUGCAAAUAUGCGAAUGAGCAGAUAUAUCCACUUGCAUUUGGCAUUGGCCAUGUCGAAGACGAAGAGUCUUGAUCGUGGUUUCUUAACCAAUAGCGUCGUGCAAUUGGUUGUCUGAAAAUUCAAUGUUCAUUUCUGAUCAGCAUCUUGGCAUUAAGAAUGCAGUUGAGAAAAUGUACAAGGACGUUCAUCACUGUCUAUGCAAUUACCACUUAGAGUAAAACGUUAAAACAGGUUCAAGCGCGAAGAUGUUGUAGCGAUUUUCACCAUGGCCGCCAACUGUUAUAGGGUCACCGAUUUUGACAAACAUAUGAAUCAGCUGAAACAGCUUUGCAAACUUGCUUAUGAAAGCCUUAUGAGAUUAGGCCCUGAGAUGGGCGCGUGCACGGUCACCAGUAAGGCGAUACAAGCUAAUGACAUCCAACACUGCGGAGUGUAUUAACUCUUACCUAAGGCAUACAAGAAAAAUGCUAAUAACGGUGUUGAUCGAGUACAUCAGAGGCAUGUUUCAACGUUAGUUCUAUGACUGGCACAAUAAGGCAUUGAAUUUGACCACACCCCUUAGCCCUCGGGCUACCGAUCUUUUGAACAGACAAUUCAAUGAAGUAUGUCACUUUUCCAUACAAGCAAUCGAUCGGGUGGAGUUUCAAGUUAUAGGCGGGAGUAAAGACAGAGUCGUGAACCUCUCCACCAAGUAGUGUUCAUGCGGUGAGUUCCAAUCCGAUCUACUCCCCUGCACGCAUGCCAUGGUGGCAAUAAGGUAUGAGUAAUCAUGUUUUGUUAUAUUGUGCAUGAUGAAUUGAAUUUUUACAUUGUUCACCAACUGUGAUUUCAUUAUCUUGGCAGUAAGUGCAAACGUGCAGCUAUUGAAUUAUGCUCGGACUAUUACAAGACUUGAUCUUGGGCAGAGGGAUAUGCAGUUCCCAUUCGCCCGAUUUGGCAUCUUAGUGAGUGGGACAUCCCCGAUGACGUUCAACAAAUUAUCGUUUUGCCACCAAGUUGGCAAGGUCAAGCGGGAAGACCUAAGAGGAAAAGGAAUCCAUCAGUUGGGGAAGGCAGCGGACAACGUAGAUGUUCACAAUGCAAGAGCUAUGGUCAUAAUAGAAAAAAUUAUCAGACUUUGUUUGCAUCUCAAUCGACAAAAAGGGAAACAUCAUUUGCUCAGUCAACGGCUCGACGACAUCGACCCAAGGCAUGUGCAAUUUACAAACAACCCGAGCACACGCGAAAUCGCUAUCCAAUGCGGACUACAAACUCUAAUAACGUUAUAGGUGUCGUACCUGAAGAUAGUGGCCCUUCAAACGUCAGUUAUUAGGGAUUGUUUCGAAGUGGCCAUUGAUAUUUGCAUUGAAUAAUACUAUUUCAACUUAAGUUUGACAAAGUUUGAAUGAAAAGUAAGAUACACAAUAUGUCCAUAUGGAAGAGAAAGACCUUAUGCUAGUUAUGGAGGUUUGAAAAAGUGUACCAAAGCAUGAGAAUUGAAGUUACUUUGAGAAAGUUAUUGAUGUUUCAAGGGAUGGCUUCCAUGCAAUAUGGAAAACGUUUAUUGAGGAAGAAGGAAAGGAAGAAGAAGAAGAAGAAGUUGCUAGAAGUGAGGAGAAAGUGCUGAAAAAAAAAUAGAUAUUAAUCUUGUAAUUGACUACAGUUUUCAUUAUUUACGAAAAUGCCAUUGCAUAGUUGGAUCAUCAAAUUCCAAUUACAGUACUUAGCCCAUUUGUCGAAUCAUCAAAGUCAGAUUAACGAAUACAAGAAGAAGAUAAAAAAAAAAGAAAGAAAAAGAAGAAUGGGAGAUUUCAACCCAUAAUUUAAGAUGAUGAAAAAGUAGAGCUAGAAGAAGGAAGAGCAACUUUAGCAAAAUGGAAAAGAAGCAGCAGACCCUCAACCCCAAAAACGAUGCUUUGCUUCGAAUUGUGAGUAAUUUUUUUAAAAUAUGAUGGGUAAAAAUGUCCUUAAAGACAUUGCAGAGUGUAAUGUAAUGUGAUUGCAUUGGUUUUGGACUGCAAUCACAUUACAUCCAUUGGCUGCAAUGUGAUUACAUUACAAUUUUCCAUUGCAGUGGUCUGUUACAAAACAAACACUGUAAUAUAAUUUAAUUAGGCACAUUGCAGGGAAUGUGACUUUACAUCCCUUAUACCAAACGCACCCUUAAUGUCGACUAUUGUAAUCAGAAAACAUAAAGGGCAUAAGAUAACUUCCAACUGUUUUUUUCAUAUUCCAGUCUUCCCAAUAUCUAUUGAUAGCUGCCUUUUCAUCUUCCAACCGUUCCAAACUUAGUUUAACGAUAAAAGGAAGUUGAACCACUAAAGCUGAACCAUCCUACACUAUCUUAAGCAAUGGCCGCAUCUUCGAGCAGACCCAAUGUCCAUGACAAUGGCGACCAAAGUAUGGGUGAUGAUGAAUACUCUAGCCUACAAUCAAGGAAGAAAUGGAAACUAGAUCUUUAACUGCCUGUCGCACCAAUUGGUUUUUCAAUUGAACCAAGUAAUGAUCCAUGCUCUCCCUUACGGUUUAGAAACAUCUCACAUGGUGGUAGGUAUUGGGUAAUAGAGAAUGCCAUGAUAUUGUAAGGGAAAGUGGUAGAUUAGGAAAGCUUAAAGGAAAACAUAUACCUUGAGGGUGACAUAUCUUCGUUUUUCGACAUGGGUAAACUUGAGGGUCUAAAUACCUUUUCAUAUUUUGAUUAUAGCUCGACUCUUGUUAGGGAAUUUUACUCCAGCAUUCACCGGAGUGAAAAUGAAUUUGAAAAUCCUAGAGAUUUUGACCUAUUUGUUUUGAACGUGUUUUUGGGAGGAAUAGAGUUUACAGUGACUCCCUUUGAUAUUAGGAAGCUUUUGAAAACGGAUAUAUAGACAUGGACAAUACAGACCUCCACCAUCAUAUGACACGUCUCGUAUGUGGGCCCAAGUGACAGGCAGAAGAGAACCAUACACCACAGAGUCAUAUUCUGUUCGUCAUUUGAAUUCUGUACUAGAUAGGUUGGUACAUAAUUUUUUGGCAUCCACAUUACAGGGAAGGAUCAGUCAUUUAAGACAUGUUAGCGCUAAGGAUUUGUGGAUGAUGGAAAAAAUUAAAAGGCAGUUUGGCAUGAAUAUUGCAAAAUAUAUGAUCAUGAGAAUAAGACAAGUUGCCAUACGGGAAGAGACGACCCUUCCAUACGAGAACAUCAUAUCGGCUCUAGUUAAGAAAAAAUGGAUAUGGAGCAAUAAGUAUCUAGCUGAUUGGACCAGUCACAGGCCUUAUAAUCUCUCGUUUCCAUGGCUUGUGAAAAGGGGAUAUGACUUUAGUCUUGAUGAGCCAUUAAACUUUGUCGAAGGUAACCCAGUUCAUCCUGCCUAUGAUACUCCAUUCAAACAACUGUCUAGAGUUCUUGUUUCCAAUGAUGUGAUGUAUAAUAUGCUUAUGAGGAUUGAUGAGAAACUCAGUAAUCAAAUUGCUAGAAUACAGGCAUUAGAAUUGAGGAUACAGAAUGUUGAGAAUCUUCUAAUACAAAGAAUAGAUACAGUUGUUCGGGCAGUAAAAGUGAGGUAGAAUUGACUGUCCUCAAAUGAGUUUCUCCGACAUUAACCUCAGAGAAAAAAGAAGUCAGUUGUCAUUGGUUCUGGCUGAGUCAACCAUACUAGAUGAACAUUCAUAUUUGAGAGUUGUGGGUUAACUGGAUUAUGGAUACUGUAGUUUGUAUUACAUAAUUCACUUAUGGUAUUUUGUUUUCUUUAACUCGAUAUUUUGUUAUGAUGGUGCUUGGGGUUGAGUUAUGGUUUGAUAUUGUUCGUGGUAAUUGGCUUACCCUUAUUCGAAGAACAUGACAUAAAAUAGGUGAGUCACGCAAUGCAAGAUCAACUAGUCACGCAAUGCAAGAUCAACUAGUCAUGCGAUCCCAUAUCAUCGAGUCACGCAAUUCAAUAAGAAUUCGUAACACCACUCCAUAUAUACUACUCACGCGGCUUCAUAUCAACUAGUAAUGUAAUUCCAUAAUAUCCAAUCACGCGACUCUAUUUUUCUACUCACGUGAUUUUAUAAUAAAUACUCACACCAUUCCAUAAUAACUAGUAACACCACUCAAUAUAUAUUACUCAUGCGAGUCAAUAUCAACUAGUCACGCGAUUCUACAAAAAAGUCAUGUCACGCGCUUCCAUAUUAACUAGUAACGUCAUUCCAUAUUUACUACUAACGGGAGUCAAUAUCAAAUACUCAUGCGAUUCUAAAUCUUAACAGUUCACGCGAACCAUAUUUACUACUCACACGAUUCUAAAUGGAUUAGUGACGCGAUUCCAUAUUAACAACUAACGUGAUUCAAAAUUUAGUACUCGCGUGACUCCAUAACAAAUACUCCUGUGAAUCAAUAUCAACUGGUGACGCGAUUCCAUCCAUACCAUUCACGCCAUUCAAUAGCAACUUCUUACAACCCUAUGUCACGUAAUGCAAUUCAACAUGUCAUAUAGGCUAUAAAGUAAAGAAGCAAAGGGGGGUUAGCAUAUGCAAACGAAUGAUGUUUGGCCUAGCUUUUGCUUUUAAGAGGUAGAUAAGAUGAAAGGGAUGGUCGAACUAGUACUUAAUAACCAAUUCAGCCCCCCUUCAUUGCAUUGAUAUGGGUGUAGAAAACGAAAAGUCAGCAUUCAUGCCUAUAAAUAAAAGGAACCAUUAACCAUUUGAAUCAAAUUCAAUCAUCUUAAUCAAUAUCAGAUAAUUGAAAAAUGACCUCUAGAGAUUCAAGAGUCGAGAAGGGGAAAAAGGCAGCCUCUGAAGAUGAUGAGGUGCCUUUGAGUUUGAGGGACUAGUUGCACAUAUUCUAGCAAAAAAGCAAAUCUAAAACACAAAAUGUCUCUCUAAAAGUGGAUGGAACUUGUAUGAAAGAGUAAACUGAACUGUCUGGUUGAGAAAUGAAAAGUAAGAUACACAAGAUAUCCAUAUGGAAGAGAAAACCUUCAAGUCCAAUGGUCGGGUCGUUGGAACUAGUUGGCAAACAAUAGAGGUCGAAAACAACUGAACAUGGGACUUGAGGGUUUUCUCUUCCAUAUGGACAUCUUGUGUAUCUUACUUUUCAUUCCCAACCAGACAGUUUAGUUUGCUUUUUCAUACAAGUUCCAUCCACUUUCAAAGCAACUAUUGAUACAUUCAUAAGCUAUCGAUACUCAUGCAGGUCCAGAACAACUGAAUGUUUAUUGAAACAGAAGGAUGGGAAGAAGACGAAGAAGAAGCUGUCGGAAGUGAGGAGAAAGUGCUGGGAAAAAUUUGAUAUUUAUCUUAUAGUUGACUACAGGUCCCUUUAUGUACAAAAAUGCCAUUGCGUAGUUGGAUCAUAAAAUUCCAAUUAGAGUACUUAGCCCAUUUGUUGGAUCAUCAAAUUCAUUGUACUCUUUCAUAAUUUGUUUUUCUUUGUAAACCAUUAAAUAAAGCACAAAAUAUUUAAUAAUAUUUACGUGAUUGAUUUUGGCAUCCUGCUUCAUAUUUUUGCCUAGAAAAUGGUGUAUAAUAGUAGUAAUAGUUAUUCUUAAUAUUGAUCGUUGUAAUCAAAAAACAUAAAGGGUAUAAGACAGCUUCCAAUCGUUUCUUUCAUAUUGUAGUUUUCCCGUUGAGUUAUGGUUUGAUAUUGUCGAUGAUAAUUGGCUUACCCUUAUUUGAAGAACAUGACACAAAAUAGGUGAGUCACGCGAUGCAAGCGCAACUAGUCACGCAAUCCCAUAUCAUCUAGUCACGCAAUUCAAUAAGAAUUCGUAACGUCACUCCAUAUAUACUACUCACGCGAAUCGAUAUCAACUAGUAACGCAAUUCCAUAAUAGCCAGUCAUGCAAAUCAAUUUUUCUACUCACGCGAUUUUAUAAUAAAUAUUCACGCCAUUCCAUAAUAACUAGUAACGCAACCCACAUAUAUUACUCACGUAAGUCAAUAUAAACUAGUGACGCGAUUCCACAAAAAAGUCAUGUCACGCGCUUUCAUAUUAACUAGUAACGACACUCCAUAUUUAUUACUAACCAAAGUAAAUAUCAAACACUCACGCGAUUUUAAAUCUUAACAGUUCACGUGAUCCAUAUUUACUACUCACACGAUUCCAAGUAGAUUAGUGACGUGAUUCCAUACUAACAACUGACGUGAUUCAAAAUUUAGUACUCGCGUGACUCCAUAACAAAUACUCUCACGAAUCAAUAUCAACUGGUGACGCGAUUCCAUCCACACCAUUCACGCAAUUCAAUAGCAACUGCUUACAACCCUAUGUCACGCAAUGCAAUUCAACAUGUCAUAUAGGCUAUAAAGUAAAUAAGCAAAAGGGGGCUGGCAUAUGCAAACGAAUGAACGCUGUCAUGUAAAUUGUGUAAAAUACUAACAGACUUUAUGAUAUGAAUAAGAAAAAAAUAAUGUUGUUCUUAUUGGACCCGUAUGCGUAUCACAUGAAUGAAUACAAAGAAUAAUAUGUAAAUGAUACAACAAAGAAUAAUAUGAAAAUGAUAUAGAAUAAUGUUAAUGUUAAUUACAAAAUGAAAAAGAAUAAACAAAUUCAAAAAUUUAACAACUUGAGCUAUUGGCAAAAAUCUCAAGGGCAAACUUUGUUCGAAUGCCCUCUAUGGCGUUUGCCUUCAGUGUCUGAUCCUCCGAGCCGAUCAACCACUGCAACGAGGCUAUAACCCAAUCCCCAUAACUGUGUGAAUUUUGCUGUAUCGGGGUCUUCUCAUUUAACCUGUAUUUCAUCCGCGUCAAACCUCAUUUUUGACGACCUGAGCUGACAAAGUACCCUGCCCGGUGGCAUAUAAUGGGAAACAAUGAUGUUAGUGGACUCAUCUGCUUAUCACGCAAGCCAAAAUUCAGUGCUUCUUUUUGACCGUACGAUGAGUCCACUAACAUCAUAGUCCAUUUCAGAAAGUUAACGUGCACUACCACCUAGUGGCCGUUGAAAAAGCACGGUACGAGAAUUGCGUCAACCUCAUGAUAUGGCAAACCCCACGAAGGUCUCCCACCCCUUGCAUACUCAAGCAGAUCGUCUGGCAUAACCACCUCACUCGGCUUGAAUGUCUUCUCGGUGGGGGAAGGCUGCAUUUUUUCACUUAGUUGGAGCAAAAUAAGUUGUCAAUUACGCUAUGCAUAAUAGUUAGAUGCAAUUAAGUAACCCUAAAUCUCAUACAUUUGAAUAAUUAUAACUCAGUUAAAUAUAAUAUACUUACAUAGAAUGUGGUGUCAACGAUCAAUAUUCUUUGCUUGUAGUGUUGUGGAUGGUGCUCGCACACCCACUUACACAACACACUAAUGCAUGCAUCAAUUUGUUGGGUGUCCAUCAACUCUGUCGGCAUCUCUAAUCGUCGAAAAAAAUCAGGGCCCUCUUACCCUUCGAUGCCCAGAAUGUUAACCCUGCAAAUUUAAAAUAGAGUUAUAUUAAAAUUAUAGUAUUGCAGACUGUUUAAUAAAUAUCCUAGAAUCGUUAACCCUAAUAUAGUCUACUGUUUUCAUUUUACCUGGCUUGGUCAUUUUUCAGGAAUGACUCAUAUCUGUCUUUCAAAUUGUCAUUCGCUUUGCGCUGGACUAAUAGCGGGUUAACGUACUGGCUUCGAAGGCAUUUGCUAGCCAAGAUCACAUGUGCAUCUUCGAGCUCAGGUCGAGGUGGAGCCUCAGCAGAAGGUUCGAUCUCACCAUAAGGGGGGGCCUCUGCUAGAGUUGGGACAGGAGCAGGACGUGGGGAAGUUGUAGUUCCACUACUCGCAAGAUGAGGUACCUCUUCGACCUCAUACGGAGAAGGUGGAGCCUAGGGAGAAGGUAUGGGCUUAAAAUGCUGGGCUGCCUCUACCGGAGAUGGAAUACCCGCAGGAUGAUGUUCAAUCGGGUUACCAGGAGGUGACCUUCGUCCCUAAACGAUUAAAAAAAACAAACACAUUAGAACAGUGUAUACAUUGUACAUGUUAUAACUCACGCGAUGAAUAACAUAAAACCUCAUACCUCAAAAUGGUCGAUCAGUCGACAGACAAUCCGAUCCUCCAGCCCUUGCAGUGAGUGCUAGAUAUGCUCAUGCAGUGACUACGUCUACAUUUGCAUCGCCCGCUAGAUCUCCAACUACAUUGACUGCAUCUGCAUCGCCCACUGGAUCUCCAACUGUAUUGACUACAUCUGCAUUUGCAUAUUCGUCUGUAAUGACUAAAGGUCUUUCUUCCACUGUGUCUGUAUCUUUUGCAGCUUUCGCUUAAUGUUCGUAGUCAUUUACGAGCGUAACGCCCGGUUAUGCGACUCAACAUGGGGGACAGCACCUGAAGCAAGAGGAGGGGUAGCAGCAGAAGCAGGAGGAGCAGCAGCAAGAGAAGCACCAUGAAUAGUUACAGGAAGAAAAUGAGGUGCCUCAGCAGCACCGAAAUCGGAAUGGACCUCUUCAUUCGUGAUGCGUCUCCGCUUAACGGCUCCUCGUACUAGACUUUUCUCAUUUGCGGUCCAUUAUUUUCCUCCUUUGUUGGGGACCUAAUUCUGGGCAACCCUCCAACUUCCAUAAUAAAAUGUAUUGCUGCCCUUCGGAGAUAUUGACCUCAAUGUCUACCCAGUUUGCGAUCAACAUCUCUUUUGCCGUUGGCUCUAACGUCUUCAUUGCCCACAACUACACCAAAACAUACAUUGCCAGUAGGUAUAACCCUCGCUACCUUAUGACAAUAAAAAUAAAAUUUAAUCAAAUAAAAAAAAUAUGGUUUCUUUACUCACCUUGCCCUCUCUCUCAAAACUUGUAAUAUUGACGUGGAACCUUGUAGGCCUCUUGUCACAAUGUCAUUUAAGCAUUCUUGGCCAAACCUAUCUGGACUACCGCUGCCUUCCGAACAAACUUCUAAUUACAGGUAUUGCUUCCAACGCCCAAAACUGCACAUCAAUUGUGUAACAUUUUUAGUCACCUCAUAAAUUCUUAUGCGAAAACAAUAAUGACAAUGAUAAACAUUAGGCUAUGGCAGACUACUUGAAAAGCCCAUAUCAAUCCGUAUAGGUGGUAGCGCUUCUUAUCUACUUUGCUUACAGUAGGAGGUUCGAAACCCCUCAGCAAGUAAUCCACGGUCAGACUCCAAACGUAUGUGCCCCAUGGGAAUGCAUUCCACUCGUCGAUGUUCUCAACUAGAGACAACAACCAUGGAACGAUAGAUCGUCUGUAGUCUUGACCGAAUAAAACGUUAGUCUCGAUCAAGACGAGGGCCAUCUUGCUCGCGUCUCCCUUUUGCUGAAACUGCCCUCCCUUGAACGUGUCUAAAACUUAUUGGAUCUUCACCUCCUUCCCAAGUCUCCAAUAUCGUAGGUAAAUUCCUCCAAAGAGGGCCUCGUAGGGAUUGACAAUGAAGGCCGAUAGAGGACCAAACUUUAGUCUUGUCACCAGACAGAACUCCCUCUUUGAAAAACAGGCCUUCAUUUUCCCUAUUGCGAACCAUAACUCUGCCUCUGUGGCGUCAGGUUCGUUGAUUCUGUGCAGCAUUAGAUUGUACACGAGACUGGCACAAAAUGAACUCUUGUUUGCUUCGACGUCCAUCAUGUGCCCGAAGCAUGUUCUCUUAAAGCUUUCCAGCUCAUUCACUUGACACAGCAUCUGACGUAUCACGUGCAGAUGCGACCACUUACAGUGGAUGUUAAUGCCUACAUUGAACCCCCACCGGUGCCUCGGCACAAGAGCAAGUACUCCGCGUUUUCCUACUCUGUUCCUGUGCUGGCCAUCUGCAACAUAAAACAGAUAACAUUCCCAUUUUAAUCAUGUCAAUACCAUCAUUGUAGAUUAACAAAAAAACUACAGGAAUUUCUUAGAAAUAGCCCUCCUCAUAAGCUCACUCAAAAAAUAACCCUAACAAUAUUUUUAACUGUUUUUAGACAACCCUGAAACAGAAUAAUUAAUCCAAGUGUGGAGCAUGGAUUAUUAAGUAAAUCAACAUAUACACAUUAAAACAUUACAGUUGACCCAAAAUAAUACAGAAUGAACCCAUGCAGAUAAAUUUCAUGCAGUUAUGACACUCGUGCAAUUUCCUACAACAAUAGUCACGCAAUGCCUAAUCAAUUAGUCACACAAUUACUAACAAUAAAUCACACAAUGAUUUAUAAACAAGUCACGCAAUUCUAAGAACAACUAAUCGAAUCACGCACACACAAACUGAUGCUAUGCCUGAACAAUAUUCGCGCAAUAACAUUGAAACCAGUCACGCAAUGGCCUAGAAACCAGUCACGCAAUGACUUAAAAACCAGUCACGCAAAGUUAAACCUUUUUGCAAUCACGCAAACCCUACGUGACCCCAUGCCAAAAUCCACUGACACAAAAGGUGCCAACCACAUAAGCACGCCCCCACUCAUGCAAUAUCUAACAAAGGGUCAUAACAAAGGGUCACCUUUCUACCCCAACAACACCAACAAUACCACCUUCAUGUUUAUAUUCAAAAAUUUCAAACAACAACAAUAUCAAUAUGAACAAGUAAUAUGUAUAGGUUUAUGCUCAAAAACCUUAACCCUAAACAUGAACAAUAACCGUCCUGUCAAAAACCUCCACAUGGUUCAAAAUGAAAUAAAAAAUUCAUAAAAAAAUUUUAUACCUUUCUCAGAGUUAUGUCAACUUCUUCACACUGCUCAAUAUGUGAACUACCUUUAUCAGAAUAAUAACCACUCCAAAAGGCUCCUACCACUGCCAAAAUGCUCAGAAGUUGAACUGUCAAGGAAUGCUUUUGACAGACUUGCUUCUGCGGAUAUGUAAGGUCUCUCGAUGAAAACCGAAGAGUUGUGGUCCAUAUAAAGGACAUACUUGACCCGUUAAUAGGUUUUUGGUUUAGGCGCGGAGCCUAGCGAAUGGGUCAGUUUCAUUAAGGACAAUUUUGUCUAAUUUUUUUUUCUCUUGGCUAAAAACAGAUAAAAUUAUACGGAGGACAAUUUUCAAAAACACCUUAUGCCUGAGGCCCAUUUAAGAAAAGUUUUUUUUUUCUUAUCAUUUUCCAUUAAUCUGCCUCCUUCUAUGAGUUUGAGAGGAUUUACACGUACAAUAUGAGAAAACAAUUUUGAUACAUUGUAGUCGCAUAAAAUAUCAAUUUCUGUGAAUUUUCAGGGCAAACAUACCUUGCUUCAAUAAAAUUGUUGUUUGGUAUAAAAAAACAGCAAAAAGUAUAUAAUCAAUAGAAAAAAAGGCAAAAAUUAAACAAAAAAAACUCUUGAAAUUUUUAUUUCUCAGUCCUUUGAUGGUAACAGUAUCCAGGGACGACGCCAUUAUAAACAAUAUUUUCUACUUAUUGAUGGUAACAAUACUAUAUCUACUAAAGUAACACUGCUGUUUAUCAGGAAAAGAUAAACUCUACUUUUUCAAAGCAACAUCUGGGGCAAGGAAGUAGAGUGCCUAAGUUAAACAAGAAAAACUUCGACCCUGGGAGCUAGCUGGCAAUGAAGCAUCAAAGAUGACGAGAAAAUCUACUGAGAUGACGCAAACAAGCCAAAAGCUGGAUUGAUAGUGGUAAAACCUCCGUCCACUGCAAGAUUGUGCCCACUCACAUACUUGGACUCGUCAGAACCCAGGUACAGUGCAGCCUCAGCCACAUCUACUUGUUGAAGAACGACCCCUUUCAGGUUAGAAUAAACACGA
rnacentral:lncRNA from 1 species